rnacentral:lncRNA from 1 species
AAAAUUGAUCUGAAUAUGUGGGCUCGAACUGUAGAGAUACCCUGCAUCCACUGUGACAAUAUUGUAGGCAACCUGGGUGAUGCCAUCAUGUAGAAGGAGAGUUGGGGGCUGAGCAGACUCGUUGCAGGUAAGCUCGAAGUCACCACCACGGGAACAACGAGGCCCGAUGCCAAAAGGAUAGCUGAAGGUCAAGUCUCCACAGCUCGUCUGGCAACCGGAGAGGGUGGGGAUGGUGGAAACCGUGCCAUUGCUCUCUGCUUGGCUUCCCAGCACGACGGAUACCAGCAUCAAUAGUUGAAUCCCCAGCAGUGAACGGAGGAGCAAUAAUGGAAACAUCCUCCACGCCGGGACUUUUGUAUGUUAUGUGGUUUGCAGUUUCAAUGAUGAAGGAAUAGCUCGAAAACAGGGUAUGCAUCAUUAUAUAGAAUUAUGUUGGGGCAACUUAGUCAUUUCCAUUGACUACACAGUAUAAUUGUGGGGCUAAAGGUUGUCGUCUUUUUUCUUUUUUCUCCACAUGCAUUUUCCAGUUGUCAAAUUUGGCCGGUUCGAGAACAAUAGUCUACUGCUUGCCUUUUUGGGUCCACAACACCAAAAUAUGGAGGCCCUAACAAAAAGAUCAAAAUAUCAAGGGAUUUGAUACUUUUGUUUAACGAGAAAACAAAUAUGUGGAUAACCCUCCAAAUCCAACCUAGUGCCUACUUGUAACAUAAAUGCAGUGUCGAUCUUGCCAAUCUCAACUAGCCCCUUAAUUUGAUUUUCUGACUCCUCUUAUGAUUUCUCACAUAUAUAACUCGGUGGGUGAGAAAUCAAAAGAACGAUUUAGAUUCGCCGUAUGAAACACGUGGUAUCCAUCGGACCAGGUAUGCACGCAGUUAGAUUUGGAGCAGUCAUACAUGUAAGUUUUUUUAUGUGUGGCGUAGCCUUUGUUUUCCAUACACUUCAGUGUCACAACUAUAAUUAGCGAUAUGCAAUUAUAUUAUCUGCAUUCAAAUGUAUUGGCAAAAAAUUUGUUUUUUCCUAGACUUGAAUUAACUUUGUUGGGAUCUGGACCAAUUAAGAAAGUCCCUACACGAUUUAAAUUAAAAACCCAAUUAGCUAUUAUAGAGAAUCAUUUUCGUAAAACUUCAUAUAUAUGGUCAGUCAACUAUUAGCGUGACAAAUCAGCAAAACAUUAUUUUCCACACAAGACAUGUAUGGACGACAAUGAUGAAUAAUUAGUGCGAGAUGUCCAUACGAGACCAAUAAGAGGCUUGAUGCUCUUGUCGUUGGACCCAUAACACCAAGUCGUCCAAUGUUAGUCAUCAGUUAGUUGCAUUGUCUCGCUCCACGCGCUAAAACUAUUCUAACCCGUAGAAUGGGGCAGCAGCAUUCAUGAUUUCGACACCUUCAUUAGAGGCAGUAAAUAGCAUUGGACUGAUGUGUGGUACAGUUGUUAACAAAGAAGACGUCAAUUCGAAAAGGGACUAGAUUUUUCCAUGGAAACAAGCUGGAAUUCCAAUCUCCAGUAGGGAUGUUUGGAUACUAGGUGCUAAACUUUAGCAGUGUCACAUCGGAUGUUCGGAUGCUAAUUAGGAGAACUAUGAGCUAAUUAUAAAAAACUAAUUGCAGAACCCCUGUGCUAAUUCGCGAGACGAAUCUAUUAAACCUAAUUAAUCCAUCAUUAGCAAAUGGUUACUGUAGCACCAUAUUGUCAAAUCAUGGACUAAUUAGGUUUAAUAGAUUCGUCUCGUGAAUUAGACUCCAUCUGUUCAAUUAGUUUUGUAAUUAGCCUAUGUUUAAUACUUCUAAUUAGCAUCUUAAACAUCCGAUGUGACAGGUGCUAAACUUUAGCGGUGGGUAUCCAAACACCCCUUUAGUGGGCGAGUUAGGCAUUGAGUCCACGACUCAGAACAGUCUACAAAAAGACUUGCUUGGCCAACAACGUUGACGGAUUUUUGUAGCCGUUAUAUAACUAUUUUCACUAGAGGUACGUGACUGUUAUUUUGACGCCCAUUACCCGCUGGUAAAGCUGGUAACGGACUACGUUAAUGCCCAUUACCUACAACAUAGAACUUGACACAGCUGCUCCAGCAGGCACAUGCGGCUAUGCCCGCGACUGUAGUGGGCUAGCUGCCUUCGAUUGGUUGGCUUGCUAGCUGGUAGGCAGAAACUUUUGUCCAGUCCCCACCGGCUGCGUCAAUAUUGCUUGGCUGGUUGCUGGUUUCCGUAGCGAAUCAUGCAUUUACAAAGUCGUUAGGUACUUAGAAUGUUGACAUCAUGGACCCUCUCCCAGAUACAGGUCUUUUUCCUUAAAUAUUUCCUCGUCGCCGUGAGGCGAUCUUGAAGCUGCCUGAUGCUCCUUGCUCUGAGGAACAUGCUUGGUAUUUCAAUAACAACUUGUAUGUCUCUCAUGCAACACCUAUAAUUAAUGUUUCUUGUUUUCGUCCAGAAUGACCACGCUCCGUUUGCUGCCACUGCCCAUGUGCUGAUUAAUUUUGCUAGUUUACAGUGCAACAGAGGUAUAUGUUUCGCAAACAAAGAUGAAACUUCUCUACAUAUCCAUAGUAGACAUACGGGUAAAGAAACAUGCAUGUAAGGAAAAUGGCGGUCAAAGUCAUUGUUCUGAUUUUAGGGAUUGAGUGACAUCAAUGUAAAUAGGACUGAUAUGUUUGUCAAAGUCUUUCAUCCUUGUAGGAUCUUUACCAUGUCCAUGUCCAUGCCCUAGGCCACGGCCGUGCCAUGUCCCCUCCAUUGGCCGACACGCAUACACUCGUGCCGGUGAGUGUAACAACCUAAUUUUCAAACUUUUCAAUUAAUAAAAUUUGUUAGAAUUUAAUUGCACAUGACUAAGGAAUUUUAAGGUUGCAUUUAAAUUUUCUUUAGCAUUUAAAUCUUUCUCAAAGUAAAUUAACGAAUCAUAGGAGUUCAUUGGCAUUAUUUUUUUUGGCUGCUUGAAUUCAAAUUCGCAUUUGAAUUCAUUUGUUUGAAUAUUUUUAAACAAUAGGAAAUCAUUUUCUUUUCCUAUCCCUUUCCUUUUCCUCUUUCGGCCCGUUUCAUCAGCGCAGCAAUAGCCCCAGGUCGGCCCAGCAGCGCCCUCCGCACCGUUCCGCUUCCAGCCCAGCUCCGUAGCGCAGCCGCCUCGACCCAUCUUCCCACGUCAGCCCACUCCCGUGCCGCCUCCGCUCCCGCUGCUGACAGACGGGGCCCACCUGUCAUUCCUCUCCUCGCGCCGCACCUGAACCGGACUCCAGUCUGAGUUCCGGACGCUCCCGUCCGCCCGUGCCUUCCUUGGCCUGCACGCCAAGACGCCCUCCCAGGCCUAUUUAACCUGCCACCGCACCCCCUCAACCCCACCAAGAAAACCCUAAGCUCCCACGCCCUAGCUCUCGAGUUGUCGCAACCCUAGCUCGCGCUUGCCGCCAAUGACCCGCGCCGCCGUUGCCUUCCAGUCAGCAGAAACACCACCCAGAGCACCGCAAGGAGGUGGCGAAACCUCCCGUGAAGAUCUCGUGCACUCUUGUGCUUCCUUUCGCGUGCACGAGCUUGCUGUAGUUGAGCUCCUCCGCUCGAGCCGCCCCACCACGUCGCCCUUCGCCUCCGUUGCCUUGGCUGCCGUGGGAACCACCUAGAUCGUUUUGCAAGCUCCCCAGCUUCAUCCCAAGCUAGUCCGCAUCGAGUUUUGUGGCUGGGAACUCGAGCUUUGCUCGAUUCCGGUGAACUUUGCCACCCAGUGCCGUCGAGCGCCACCGCCCACCGCCUCGUAGCGCCACUAGUCGCCCGAUCCUGAUCGAACGGCUCAGAUAAGAUCUGACUGGAGUCAAUCCGGCCACGUACCGGUCAACCUUGCCACGACGUUGCUCUUUUGCUAAAGAGAUCCUGAGUUAUCUUAUUUUUGCACCCGAGGUCCAGUGCAGUUCAAAAGUAAUUAGAUCUAGGUUGUUUUUCUUCCAUUUUAGCCCCUGCUUUUCUUAGUUUUUAUGCUUGCCAUCCUAGAUUUGCUCUUUUACACUAUAGACCUUUGGUUUCUACGCAUAAUGAGAUUUUAGCCCUUGGUUUAUUUAAGUUUAGCCCCUGGAAGUUUACUUUUCUUGCAGAUAAGCCCUUACAUCUUGUCUAGGCUAUAUCUUUAGCGUUUUAGAUCCGUUUUGAAUGAUUCUUGCGUCUGUGAGUUUGUCUUAAGGCGUAGACUAGUUUUAUGAACUUUUUUUUCCUUGUUGCUACUGUUUGGUGUAUUUUUUUAUUAUUUUAGUUCUUUGUUUGCUUGUAUGUACUUGUUUGAUGCAAGUAGAAGGACCGCAGUUCGAGGGAUUCGAAGAUCAAGCCUUUGAAGACUUCAAGCAACAAGAGCAAGUUCACGAAGGCAAGUCAUGCCCUUGAUCACAAUUUGAUCCUAUGCAACCUUUACUUUUAUGUUCAAUACAAUAUGCUAUGCACAUUAGGUUAUAAACAUGAUAGUUCCUAUAUAAGGUUUGCCUUGUUUUAUCCUUAUGCCUUGAUCAACCUGGGUUUAUAUCAUGUUGGAUAGUUCUUGCUUAGUUGCUCUAUUUGGGUACGAUGGUAUUAAUGAACCAAUGUUUAAACUUGUUUUAUUUAUGUUGUAUCUUUCAUUAAUACAAGAUCACCAUGCUUAAUUGGAACAUGGAGAACCCCCUAGGAAAACAGUACAACCACAAGAACUACAUGGCUCUGGUGUUGGCUAAUUAAUUAGAUACUCUAGUCUGGGUAACCUUAUCGAAAGGUCAAGAGGGGAGGCAUUGAUGGGGUAUAACCCGGCCCUCUGGCUGAUCUGCUCUAUGGUAGCUUCAUAGUUUUGAGAGAGGUUUAUGCUCUGCUUCGACUUGAAACCUUAGUGGGUUACUAUUUACUCGGGAAUCUUUGUAAAGGCCUCAUAGCGUCCCUAUGCAAUCACACCUCGGAAGUGUGGUAUUGUGCUUGGCUGGCACAACAUGGUUGGAUCUAAAGUUCUUUUGAAAUUUUACGUGACUUGUGGGUAAAGAUGUACAACCUCUGCAAAGUGUAAAACUGAUCGAUCAGCCGUGCUCAAGGUUAAGAGCGACCUGGAUCCUCACAUGAUUAAUUUAUCAGGAGUUGAAUUAAAUUGAAGUUAUUUAUUUAUUGUUAUCUUUAUUUAUGUUCAUGUUUAAUUGGGGUGGUAUAAACUUAUACUUAGUAAUUGCUAAUAAAACUUUACUAGCCAAUUAAAAUGCUGAAAUAUUAUUAGACCUUAGCCCAUCCUUGAAUGGCCUUACACUACACAUUCCUCAUGCUUGUUGAGUACCAACCAUAAGUGUACUCACACUUGCUAAAAUCACUGCUCACACCAAUUCAAUCUCGAGGAGGUCCUUCAAGACUUUGAGGAGUUCUAGGAGAAUGUGUGCCACUAAUCAACUGCCUGUGGAGUUGUCGUCAUUGUUGGAGUUUUGCUACUAGAAUAAAGACUCAUUUGCUAUUUUAUUUAAAGACCUUUGGUCAUGUAAUAAAUUCAAUACUCUCUUUAUGUUUUGGCAUUGUCUAUGGUACUUACUGAAGUCAUUGCAUGUGUAAAACUUAAUCCUAGCACACAUGUAAUUUAUUCAUCUAGUUUUGCCUUUAAAACCGGGUGUGACAAAAGUGAUAUCAGAGCUGAGUUGACUGUAGGACGUUAUCCUAGUUACAAAAUGGUCGAAUUUAAGGAUUAUAAUGCUUUGGUAGCCAUUCUUACUUAAUGUUUUCUUUAAAUCUACUUUAAAAUGCUUAUCCUUUCUAUUAUCCUAUCUCCAUUGCUCUACUUGUUUCUUUAUCUUGUUUUCUACAUUCUUUACACUCUAUGCUUCUUGAUGAUCUUGAUGAUGAGGUCCUUCAAACUCGCCCUAUGAUCUCGAUGAUCACUCCUUCGCCCUAUGUUAGUGUUUUAUAUCUUGGUGGGGGAUUGUCGGACCUAGAACUCGAAGGUAGAAGUGAGAAUACAAGACACAGAUUUAUAUAGGUUCGGGCCGCCAGAGUAGCGUAAUACCCAACGCCCUGUUUGGGAAGUUGUAUAUUACGCCCUGCGCUUAGGUGUUACAUAGCCUGAUUGUUGGCUAUUGAUGAUGGUUCUAUGAGGUCUUGGCCUUUGUUGAUCUGAGCUCUGACGAUCUAGAUACCCCUACCCUCCUUUAUAUACUCCACGAGGCGGGAUAACUAGUUGGUUAUAAGGAGGAGUCGUAGUAGGAUUACAUGGUAUGAGCAGGUAUUAGGGAUCUAUCCCUGACAGGUGGAUAUCCUAUUUGCUAGUCUAUGUCGUGCUGAGUUUGAUCGUGUCGAGGAUCUAUAUCUUGCUCAUGAUAUUUGGUCCAAACUCUAGAGUUUCCAUGAGGGGAACAGUUAGGUGAAGGCACGACUCUUUGAGACUUACCGAUGUGAGUAUGAAAACUUUAUUCAUUUGAUCAGUGAGUUAGCUGAUGCUUUGUUCCAGCGCUUUCUUACUAUUGUGAACAAGAUGAGAGCAAACAUCACCAUCUUACCCUACACUGAUCAUGAUAGAGCUUUAAAGCUCCUGCAUGCUUUGGACCACGAGGUGUGGGUACGAAGGUUGAUGCUAUCAUCGAGUCCACAAGCUAUGAAACUCCUGCAGUUGAUGAACUUUUUGCCAAGCUGAAAUUGACAGAGGUUGACAAGAGGCUCCGAGCUAAACAAGGGAGUCCUACUAAUCCUCAUAGUAUGGCUCUUGUGUUAGGCUCUAGAUAGUCUAUGUCUUUGGCUAACCCUUCCACUAUGUCCUUUGCUUUGUCUUCUUUGUUGUCUGUUUUAGAGCAGUUGGAGGUUCUUGAGGAUGAGGAGCUCGCCUUUAUCAUGAGACGGUAAUCGCAAGAACCGGUGAAGGAACAACAACAACUGCUUCGAGUGUGGCAAGUCAGGACACUUCGCCGCCGACUGCCCCGACAAGAACAAGUCCAAGAACGGGUACGACUACAUCAAGUACAAGUACAAGGACAACGAGAAGAAGAAGAAGUAUACCGGUCGUGAGAAGAACGAGCACUGCAAGAAGGCUAAAGCACGUGCCUUCAUCACCUCCCUCAGCAAGAACGGGUACUAGUUCCUUGUAUGGAAUUCACAUAACAAAUUUGCAUAACAUUUCAUUCUUUACAACCUAAAAAUGGGCUUCAUUCUUUUUUGCUAUAGUUUCUGAUGAUUAUUGUUACUUUUUUCUGUCUAUAUUAUUGUCACUCAAGCCCGCAUCUUAUAUAUGAAUGCAUGCACUGAAAACAAAGUUAAGGUGUCUGUGUGUUGUUUAUACAGAGAGUGGAUCGAGGUGUCUGGCAUAAUAUUUUUUUGACAUUCCAAUUUUCUUUCCUUGUAUGUUAUAUACAAUAGUUCUAGUUAUUGCAAUGCAUGGGAGCAGCAAAACUGCUAUAUUUUUUUUAUUACUUUCCCAAGUUCUUAAAAUUAUCACUUCAUGCUAACAGAAUUUAUGGUUUUAAGCUACACCUGGAGCAGCAUACUGUGGGUAGAGCUGUGCUACCGAAACAUAGCUGGCUGGAAAUUUGUACUGAGGUAGGAAAUGAGGUAGCUUGAGUCUGUAAAAAACAUCAUCAGGCUGUUUUGCUUUCGAAUUAAUGUGGCUCCAGUUCGUGUCAUGCCUUCUUGACUGAUUGGAUGAACCCAAUUGCUUGGGAAUGUUAAAGAUAAAGAGUUUGGUUGUAAUUGGAAUAGGAUAUCUGGAAGAUUAUCUUUGGGCGGCUGCUAUUCUAGUUGUAACAGAUAUGUAUUUUUAAAUUAGUUUGGCCAAAGAUAUCUCCUAGAGAGGUCCUAUAUAUUGUAAUUUCCUGUGUGCUAUUUUGCACAAUAUUAUAACACGCAACCGUUGCACCCUUAAGGUUGGGGCAACAUUCCACGCAGCGCAAGCACCUCUGUUACCUUUCAUGGUAAUCGGAGCAUAGAAUUAGAUCCAUGGCUUCAAGCUCAAGUGUCUCCAAUCCCCUACUCGGCGUUCAGAUCAUAGAGAAGCUGAGUAAGAGCAACUAUGCGCUCUUGAAGGCGUAGGUGCUCACCGCCCUACGUGGUGUUCGGAUGGAAGGCUUCAUCACCGGCAAGACCGGCGUCCCCUCACCUGAGAUCGAUGACAAGCUGUCUGACGGCAAGAUCGUCAAGGUGCCAAAUCCAGCAUAUGAAGAGUGGUAUGCCCGGGAUCAACAGGUCCUUGGGCUCAUCUUCUCAAGCGUGGGGAAGGAUGCCCUCACGCAGAUUGCUGCUGCAAAGAUGGCAGCACAGGCAUGGCAAGAGAUCGAGAACAUGUUCACCACCCAAACUAGGGCUCGGUCGAUGAAUGUGCGCCUAGCAUUGACAACUACAAAGAAAGGUACAUUGUCAAUUACUGAAUAUUAUGCCAAGAUGAGAUGGAGGCCUCUGGAAAGCCGCUAGAUGAUGAAGAACUUGUCGCGUAUAUCGUCAACGGAUUGGAUUCAGAAUUCAAUCCUGUGGUGUCGACGCUCGUCACAAGGGUCAAACCGAUCUCGGUUACUAAGCUCUACUCCCAGCUACUUAGUUUCGAGAAUAAGCUUGAACUCCAAGAUGGCUCAGGAUCCUCCAUCAACAACAUUGUUAGGGGCAGUCGAGGCUCUUCUGGAGGUCACAGUGGUGGGAGCCGUGGCCGUAGCUCUAGGCAUGGUGGCCAUGGUGGUUUUGGUCGCGGAUGCGGGAACCAGAACUAGCCGCGGCUCAAUCCAGGAAGCCAGCACCGCCCAUCUGGAAGCUCCAACGAUAGUCGCCCUCUCUGCCAGGUCUGCUUCAAGAAAGGGCACCUCAUCUCUGAUUGCUGGCAUCGCUACGACGACACUUACGUCCCCGAUGAGUGCCUCGUUGCUGCUGCCUUCAACAACUCCUACAGUGUGGAUACUAAUUGGUAUACCAACAUUGGGGCUACGGAUCAUGUCACAAGCGAGCUAGAGAAGCUCUCCUUCCGUGACAAAUACAAGGGAGGUGAACACAUUCAUACAGCAAGCGGCACAGCUAUGGAGAUCAAACAUGUUGGUCAUACUAUUGUUCCAACCUAUUCUAGAGAUUUACAUCUUAAAAAUGUCUUACAUGUUCCUCAAGCUACAAAAAAUCUUGUCUCCGUUCAUCGCCUAGCUAAAGAUAAUUCCGCCUUCAUUGAAUUUCACCCUGAUUAUUUUCUUAUCAAGGAUCAGUCCACGAAGAACGCGAUCCUUAGAAGGAGAUGUCACAAGGGUCUCUACCCUCUUCCUGCAGUGCAUCCAGUCAAGCAGGCGUUUGGAGUUGUCAAGCCAUCCCUUGCACGGUGGCAUAGUCAUCUGAGUCAUCCUGCUUAUCCCAUUGUUAGCAAGAUUGUUAGCAAUAAUAAUCUACCUUGUUUAGUUGAGAAUAAUAAAGAGUCUGUAUGUGAUGCUUGUCAAAAGGCAAAAAGUCAUCAAUUGCCUUAUUCUAGAUCAUCGAGUGUCUUUAGUUUUCCCUUAGAACUUAUUUAUUCAGAUGUCUGGGGUCCUGCACCCACUUCUACUGGAGGAAAGAAAUAUUAUGUUAGUUUCAUUGAUGAUUAUAGCAAAUUCACAUGGAUUUAUUUGCUCAAAUUUAAAUCCGAGGUUUUUCAAAAGUUUCAUGAGUUUCAAAGUCUAUUUGAAAGAAUGUUCGACAAAAAAAUCAUUGCUAUACGGACUGGAGGUAAGUAUCAAAAACUCCACACCUUUUUUGAUAAAGUCGGCAUCUCCCAUCAUAUUUCAUGUCCCUAUGCGCAUCAAUAGAAUGGUGCAAUAGAAUGCAAGCAUCGUCAUAUUGUAGAAGUUGGCUUAUCCCUUCUUGCCCAUGCAUCUAUGCCUUUGAAAUUUUAGGACGAAGCCUUCCUAUUAGGUACAUAUCUCAUAAAUCGAGUUUCUAGCAAAGUUAUUCACCAUGAAACACCUUUAGAACGUCUCUUUGAUCAAAAACUAGAUUAUUCUUCCCUUAGAACCUUUGGGUGUGCAUGCUGGCCCAAUCUUAGACCAUACAACAAGCACAAACUCGAAUUCAGAUCUAAGUAGUGUGCCUUCCUUGGGUACAGUCAACAUCAUAAAGCGUUCAAGUGUCUUGACAUAGCAUCAGGUCGAGUUUAUAUCUCCAGAGACGUCGUCUUUGAUGAGAUGGAAUUUCCCUUCUCCAAACUGCAUGAGAACGUAGGAGCUCGUUUACGCUCUGAAAUCUCCCUCCUUCCCUCCCAUCUUCUCAAUCCUUCUGUUGGGGUGGAACAUAUAGGUGACCACUUGUCUGAUUCUCCUAAUACUACAAAUGAUUCUGGUGAAAUUUGUGAAGAACAUGCUGCACGAAAUAACAGCAACAGAGCUGGUCCAAGCACAGCACACAAAGCUGAUUUAGCGCCGCUUCCAACUGACCAGGCCUCGGGAUCGCCAGGCGUAUCCGCGUGCAAUUCUGCACGUGAGUCCACUCCCACCACGUCACCCCCGAUCGCGCUUGACUCAUCCCUACCUACGCCUGCUCCCGCCUCUCCUCCUGGGCGCCAGUCCGUGCCCGCCAUGUCGGCAUCGCCACACGCUCUGCUCUAGUUGGGCGUGCUGGAGGGGCAUAAUGGCGCCAAUGAUAGUGCCAAUGAUGGCACCAAUGAUGCAGAUGGCAGGUGCAACGGUGAACCUAGAUCUUCUGCACCGAUGGAAGCUGCUGACUCUCCUGUUGAGUCCUCUGAUUGUCCAGUUCCGUCUACACCUAUGCGUCCUACUACCCGUCUACAACGUGGCAUCCGCAAGGAGAAGGUAUACACUGAUGGCACUAUUAAAUAUGGAUUUUUUACAUCAUCUGGUGAGCCGCAUAAUGUUAGUGAAGCUAUGACAAGUGCACAUUGGAAAGCUGCUAUGGAUGACGAAUGUAUGGCACUAAUGAAGAAUAAAACAUGGCAUCUAGUUCCAUCUAAGAAGGGUGUUAAAUGUUAUUGAUUGCAAAUGGGUAUAUAAAAUCAAAAGAAAAGCUGAUGAAAGUUUGGAUAGACAUAAAACCAGACUGGUUGCUAAGGGUUUCAAGCGAAUGUAUGGCAUUGACUAUGAAGAUACUUUUAGUCCUGUUGUUAAACCAGCCACUAUCAGGAUUGUUUUGUCUAUUGUUGUAUCUAGAGGAUGGACCCUCCAUCAACUUGAUGUACAUAAUGCUUUCCUUCAUGGUGUUUUGGAGGAAGAGGUUUACAUCAGACAACCUCCUGGCUAUGAGGACAAAUCUCUGCCUGGUUAUAUAUGCAAAUUAGAUAAAGCAUUGUACGGUCUAAAGCAAGCACCUAGAGCAUGGUACUCCAGGUUAAGUACAAAGCUACAUGAGCUGGGGUUCAAGUCAUCAAAGGUAGACACAUCCUUAUUCUUCUAUAAUAAAGGGGGAGUUAUUGUCUUCAUACUUGUUUAUGUAGAUGAUAUCAUUGUUGCUAGUUCAAGACAGGAGGUUGUGUCGGUUCUAUUAAAGAAUCUCAAUAAGGAUUUCACACUAAAAGAUCUUGGAAAGCUUCAUUACUUCCUCGGCAUAGAAGUGAAUCAGAUCCAUAAUGGAAUUAUAUUGACACAAGAGAAGUAUACGAAUGAUUUGUUACAACAAGUUGGUAUGAAAGAUUGCAAACCAGUUGCUACUCCAUUAUAUACCUCAGAGAAGUUGUCUCUUCAUGAAGGUAAUUUGUUUGGACCGAAUGAUGCCACAAAUUAUAGGAGUGUUGUAGGAGCUUUACAGUAUCUGACUUUGACUAGACCUGAUAUAUCAUAUUCUGUUGAUAAAGUCUAUCAGUUUCUACAUGCACCUAAUAUUGUGCAUUGGAUGGCGGUCAAGAGAAUUCUUAGAUAUCUUAAGCACACGGUCAAGCUUGGUUUAAAGAUUUGCAAGUCUUCUUCUUUGUUGGUGAGUGCUUUCUCAUAUGCUGAUUGGGCAGGGUGCCUAGAUGACAGACGAUCUACUAGAGGAUUUGCAGUAUUCUUGGGGACGAAUCUAGUUUCUUGGAGUGCUCGAAUACAAGCAACUGUGUCAAGGUCUAGCACUGAAGCGGAAUAUAAAGCAAUAGCUAAUGCGACUGCAGAAACAAUGUGGAUACAGACUUUGUUGUAUGAAUUGGGCAUAGAUGUGCCGAGGAUAGCCAAGCUUUGGUGUGACAAUAUUGGAGCUAAGUAUCUUUCUGCGAAUCUAGUCUUCCAUGCUAGAACUAAACAUAUAGAAGUCGAUUAUUACUUUGUAAGAGAAAGGGCGGCUAAGAAACUACUUGAUAUCGAGUAUAUAUCUACAAAGGAGCAGGUGGCUGAUGGUUUCACAAAGCCAUUGACGAUGCGGCAGCAGGAGUUGUUCAAGAACAAUCUGAACCUAGAACGGUUGAGGGGGAGUGUUAGAGAUGAAGAGUUUGGUUGUAAUUGGAAUAGGAUAUCUGGAAGAUUAUCUUUGGCCGGCUGCUAUUCUAGUUGUAACAGAUAUGUAUUUGUAAAUUAGUUUAGCCAAAGGUAUAUACUAAAGAGGUCCUAUAUAUUGUAAUUUCCUGUGUGCUAUUUUGCACAAUAUUAUAACACGCAACCGUUGCACCCUUAAGGUUGGGGCAACGUUCCACGCAGUGCAAGUGCCUCUGUUAUCUUUCAGGGAAGACCUACCAGUCUCUGGCGAAAUCAGUCAGUCUCCUUGUAUUGUUUGCAUUGGCUUGUAGUCCCUCAGUCCAAAAUUACUAUUUUUUUUGGCAUUUGUAGGUACAUAUUUUGAGACGGAAGGAGUAGGUUGGUAGUACAGAGAUUUCUUAUAAUUUUCCGGUCUCCCCUUGGACGUUGAUUGACGCGAACAUGCAUCUGGAAUGCAGCGUCUAAUAUCAGGUCCAAACUGCUACUCAAUCGUUCUAAUAUCAGGUCCAAACUGCUACUCAAUCGUUCACCGGGUAAAGACAUAAUGUGAAGACCGCAUCUAAGUCGUUCAAGGGCCACAGGUCGUCGGCGUUAUUCAAGUGUACGCAGAGACCUUGCUUUCAGGGGAACAUUCAGCUCCAAAUAAACAUGCCUUUCUCAGAGAACAUGUAUGGAAUUCCCAUAACAAUUUUGCAUAACAUUUCAUUCUUUACAACCUGAAGAGCAUAUAUCUUAGAAUACAGACACGUGUUACACAAGAACACAAUUAAAACACCUUCCACGUAUCUACAUAUACUUAAAUAUGCCACUGUUGCGACAAUAGAUGUCACGGAAAUUUUUAUCUUGCAAAUUCUAUGCAGUUAUCUGUCCAUAUUGAUUUCAUCUUGCAAACUCUAUGCUCAUCGAGGCUUUCUUCUGGAGGAUGUAAUAAUCUGUGCUUUCUUCACUAGUAUAGUCACCCGAUGAAUUGUCAGACGACCGUCCCUGCAUCAUGAGUGCACUAACACCAUGAAACCCUUGAGUGCGAAGUGGUACUGGACAUGCCAAUCGCUGGAGUUCCUCUGCUACCUCUCUCAUCAUUGGCCUGUGUUGACCGGUCAUGGCCAAGCACCGACUUGCUACCGCAGCCACUUGAAGUAUUAACUCCAUGUUUUCUUGAUUGUCUAUCUCCCUAUCUAUGAGUUCUGUAAGCUUGCCCUCCUUUACACCUUCCAUGAAGACAAACACGAGGCUUACCUUUGUUUUGGACAGUGCCCUCCUUCGUGUUAAGAGCUCCAAAAGAACAACACCAAAGCUGUAAACAUCACUCUUAUCAGUAAGCUCAAAGUUCAAAAGGUACUCUGGAUCUAAGUAGCCCAUCGUCCCCUACACUACUUGAACAUUUUCAUCAGCUGACCUAAUCAUGGAGCACCCAAAAUCAGAAACUUUUGCAGAGAGAUCAUGGCCUAGAAGAAUAUUAACGGACUUGGCAUCUCCAUGAAAGACAGGGUGGCUAAGAGAAUGUAGGUAUGCAAGUGCUGCAGCAAUCUCAGAGGCAAUUUUAAGACGGACCUCUAGAGUUCUUUUGGACGGAUCAACUUGUGUAUGAAUAAGAUGUUGUAGAGUUUGAUUUGGCACAUAUUCAUACACCAGAACUGGAGCUUCAAACUGCAAGCUGCAACCUAGAAGCUGAACGAUGUUUUCAUGUUUGACUUGAGAAAGUAUAAGAAGCUCCUUACCAAAUUCCAUUCUCCUAUUCUCAUCAAAUCCCUUGCAGAUCUUGAUAGCAACAGGAUUAUUUUCUAAAUCAAGAUUUUGCCUUAUAUAAACAGUCCCCUGACCACCUUCACCAAUGAUUGAGUUUUUGUCAAAGUUGUUGGUGGCCAACUCAAUUUCUUCUUGGUUACACAACUUAAAUGUUUUAUUGCUCGCUACUUUCAUCAUAUCCAUUAGCAAUUUCCCUCCAUUCUGCUGAAAGCAUUCAUCAGUCUUCCUCAUGUAUUCUUGCCUUAUUAUUUGUCGUUUGUGCUUGAUCCAUUCUUUACAAAGAUAAAGUAAUAGACCAAGCAAAACACAGGCAAAAAUUCCUGCAGGUCAGACAUGUAUCUAACUCGUAAGUUGGUGCAAGGAAAAAAUAAAGAAGUAUGGUAACUACUGGUGUACUGGUUGGUUUAUAUAUACUUGUGUCACUUAAAUACAAUAUUCAGUCACUACACAAAUGUGACACCAUGAGGACAGAUUUGUUUCAGCCAUGCUUUCACAGAUCUAAUUGAACAGUACGGAUGAUACGAGUAGUACCUAUUGGGAUUGUGACUUCUAGAGGAAUUGAGUGGUCCUUCUCACAUCUGUAUGCGUUGCCUUUGGGGUAAUGCGGAGGACAAAUGCAUUGAAAUCCUCCUUGAGUAUUCUUGCAAGUUCCCUUCACAGAGCAAGGGUAUUUCUCCAGAUUGUUAUUACAUUCAUCAACAUCUGCAAUGUUAGCAGUGGUAUAUAAAAUAUCGAGUAAAGAUUUCCAGUGGCAGUAGAUUAUCUCAUGACCUAAUCAAAGGCUAAAACAUUACCUCUCUUAUUUAUACAUACAUAUCACGCAAAAGGAAUUGCACCUAUAGAUUUCAUUACCUUCGCAUCCGUCAAGAAGGUAUGGAUUGCCUUGGAACCCUUUGGCGCAGUUGCAGAUGUAGCCUUGUCCACUGUCCGAAUUAAAGCACUCACUGCUAUUGCUGACACAUGCAUAUGACUCAGGCUUGUUCCGGGCUUCAUCGCAAGUUCCAUUCCCAAUAAGCAUCGUAGAACGCCGAUGAUGUAGCGUAGCUUUUGGAGAAUGUGAAUUCGGAUGCCUCGACCAGCGCCGCGUAGCUGCAGCGGCUGGUGUUAAUUGUAGAUCCUUGACGUGUUGAAGCCCUCAGUGAACCACACCUCGUAGUACUGCAGGCCCUUGGGGAUGGCCGUCUGGCAGCAGCCAAUUCCGGAGCAUGAGCCAUUAGUAAGUGUUCUUACAUCGCCUCGCCGGCACAUGGAGACACAACCGCUCAUGUACCGUAAACAAGUUAGCAGUCUCUGAGAAUCUAUAGGGCGUACCUGUCAGGUUCAGCCGCCAGUUUAGGUAAUCCAUUUCCUUAGUGGAGGUGUUGUAGCAAUAAGUCGACAUGUAUCCAUCCUCAUCUGGGCAAGACCUUGCUGCAGCCAGAUAUUCAGAACCUCUACAUCUAUAUGAAAUGGCCUGAAUGAUCCAUGGCCGACUUCCUUGCAGCUCAGGUUGAAUCCGGGCAAAUAGCAAUGAUCAGCGAGUCGUCAGGCCCAAUGCCAAAUGGAUAUGGGAUAUCGACUUCGCCGCAUUUUCUCUGACAGUUGUUGCUAGGCGGCGGCAAUGCUUCAACAGAAGAGAGUACUAUUACCGCAAGCACGACCACUACUCCAAGACAUAGCAGUGCAUCUAAUCUAUGGGGCAGCAUGGUGUGGUGGUGUUAUUUGGAUGUAAUCCAUUCUUUUAAGGACUCCCUUCAGAACCUCAAAGGACAUCAUGUACAUAGGUAGACUACCAAGUACCGAAUUAAUCAAAGUCAGUCGUCCCCAUUGCCCUUCCAACUACUGAGCUGCUUUUUGAAGCGUUGUUCAACUUUUAUCCAAUCGGCAUUUGAUCAUUUCUUAUAGUGAACUGGAAUACCCAAAUACCUCAUUAGAAAUGAUCCUGGAUUACAUCCAAAUAACUCUGUAUAGUAGGUCUCAUAAUUUUUCGCUUCACCAAAACAGAAAAUUUCACUUUUAUGAAACUGACGUAGAGAAUCAUGCAUCCACAGAACAGAUGCAUCAUCUAUCUACCGGGCAAGAGAAGAUGCGAAGACUGCAAGCAAGUCCUCGACUGUGUCUUGAACCUCUCUGGUUGCAUGUCGCAGACUCACAUGUAUGUCCUGGUGACGCAUGCGUUAUGCGAGGCUCUCGAAACUUGUCCCAAAUUCUCAUCUAGAUCAAUAUUUUUUAGAAAGAGGUCGAAGAAGGUUACUGGAAGCAUGAAGGAAGAAUUUUUCAUGAGAAUUUUGAUGCGUGCAUGCCUUAAUAGCUUACUGUUAUAGAAGAGCUUUCUGUUUUUUUUUCCGAUGGAAACAGGAGGGGUGAUCCCCCUACUGAAUUUAUUGCAAAAGAAAAAUGAAGUCGGAAAAUACAAUACAAAUCAAAUACAAAUCAGGAACAAAGGCCUAAAAGGAAAAGCGACUACAGAAUUGAGAAGAAAAAUAAAUUUAAGAAAGAUCAGAGCAUCAGGGAGACUGUUGACAAAGUGAUUACAAUGAGGAUAACCAGUCGGCAAUGGAAGGACCAAAGGGGGGUCUCGCUCUGUGAGAGGAGAUCAAAGAGAGUUCUGUGAUGAACAUCCUCUUGCAGGCCUCGACUGAAGGUGGAGUGCCAUUGAAGGUCCAGUUGUUUCUGCAUGCCCAAAUACUUGCAGACAUGAGAAUAAUGAUUUUCAUAAAAAAAGUACCGCCAGCCUUUGCUUGAUUGAAUUGAGAAUCUGUAGUGUUGGUCUCGUUGUGGCUACUGAGGCCCCUAUGGAUGCCCAACAAGCUUUGGCAAAGUUACAGCGCAGGAACAGGUGGGCUACCGUUUCUCUUUUCUGUAGAAUGCACAUCUCACAGGUGUAUGAGUCAAGGUACAUGUUCUUCCGUCCUAGGAUAUCUUUGGUACUUAAGCGAUCCUUGACGAGGAGCCAAAAGAACACUUCGUGUUUCAUUUGGCAGCGAGAUUUCCAUAUCCAUUUGAUUACUGGGUAGACAGUCCUUGUUCCCGUGAUAUGUUUAUAAAUUUUGGAUACUAAGAAGAAGCCAUUACCCCAGAUGUAGGACCAUUGGUCCUUGUCGUCUGAUAGGUUGGUAUGUCGUACUCUGUCACUAAGAAUUUGGAACUGCUGGUAAGCCUGGUCAGACAAGGGUAGCAUGAAAUUGUGAAAGAAAUUUGGUUUCUGAAGAGUUGCCCGAACUAUUAUCCAUUUGUUGGAAGCAAAUGAUAAAACUCCAGGGAAUUCCUGAGAUGGGAUAUUUUCAUCCAAAGAUCGGACCAGAAAAGAAUUGAAGAUCCAUUGCCAGUCUGGGCUGAGGCCAUACCUUCGAAUUUGUCUAGCAGUUUGAUGAUAUCUCUCCACCAGAAAAAACCUUUUUUGUGUUGGCUAGGUAACUUUCCAUUUAUAUAAUAGUUCUCCCAGAUGAGGUUGACCCAUGGUAUGUCUGCUUUGUUGAAGAAUUUGUGGAGGAAUUUCAGUAAAAGAGCCUCAUUUUGAUUGUUCAAAUUGAUAACUCCAAAGCCCCCUUCCUUUUUGGGUAUACACACCAUAGGCUAGGCUGCUUUAGCAGGUUUGUUUGAAUUAAGGUAUGGUCCCCUCCAUAGACAGUGUUUCCUAUAUUUGUCUAGCUGUUUAAUUACUCCCUUGGGCAACUUGAUGGUGGACAUGUGAAACAUUGCAGUGGAGGAAAAAACUGUGUUGACCAUCUCGAGCUUGCCCCCUUGGCUUAAGAAUAGAGAUGUUCCUCCUAACCUUUUUUCCACUCUUUGGACUAGAGGUAGAAAAUCCUCAAUAUUGGGUUUAGAUGUCCCUAGUGGCAGACCCAGGUAGGUGAAUGUUAGGGACCCUUUCUGACAAUCCAAAAUUGAUGCUAAAUGUGGUAGCUUGUCUUCAGUGAUAUUAAGUGGUAGCAUGAUCGAUUUAUUAUAGUUUACCUUCAGCCAAGUUGAUUGCGCAAAAGAAUGAAGGAGUCCCUUGAGAUGUUCCAUUUGAUCAGGACAUGCUUUCAUUAUCAAAAGAGUAUCAUCUCCAUACUGUAUAAUAGGAAAAUCAGCCCUAGCUCGUUCAGGUAUUGGAAGAUGUAGGAGACCUUGGUCUUUGGCUCUAUUAAUAAUUGAUUGUAGGAGGUCAGCCGCUAGAACAAAGAGUAGGAGAGAGAGAGGAUCCCCUUGUCUUACUCCCCUCCUACAGUGAAAAACCUUUUUCGGCACUCCAUUUAGAAGAAUGGAUGAGGUUCCUGUGCUCAAUAUUGCUUUAAUCCAGCGUAUCCAUCUAUCACCAAAGCCCUUGUGCUUUAAGAUGUCUAAGAUUGCCUGGUGUUCAAUCUUAUCAAAUGCCUUCUCAAAGUCAAGCUUUAGAGUGACUAAUUCCUUUUUGGAGGCUGUGCAGAUAUGUAGGUAUUCAAAGGCCCAGGCUAGACAGUCUUGAAUGGAUCUAGUCUUAAUGAACCCAUAUUGAUUCUUGUGAAUCAAUCUUAGGAUGACCUGCUGAAGUCUUUCAGCUAGGAUCUUGGUGAUCGGUUUGAUUGAGGAAUUAAGUAGGGAUAUGGGUUUGUAGUCAUUCACAGUUUCUGGGCAGUCCUUUUUGGGGAUUAAGGUGACAUAUGAACCAUUUAUGCUCUAGACACAGAUUGUCCCAUUGAAAAAACCUUCACACAGGUCAUAAAAAUCUUGGGAUAUAGGGCUCUAGGAUUUUUUUCAGAAACUCACCAUUGAAACCAUUUGGUCCCGGGGAUUUGUUGUUGGGAAGUUCAGCCACAAUUCUAUCUGUUUCCUCUUUGGUAAUCUGUUGCUCUAGCCAAUCUAGAUCAGGGUCUAGUUGUAGGAGGGAUUGUAGGUCUAGAUACAUGUGAGUAAAAUCAAAUCUUCCCAUUCUUUCUUUGAAGGCCUCCCAUAGAAUGUUAGCUUUGAGUUCAUGUUGCAUGUGUUGUUGGCCAAGGUUGUCCCUUAGAGAGGUUAUGGUGUUCCUCCUGUUUCUGAUAGAGGCAUUAGCUUUAAAGAAUGUUGUGCAUUCAUCUCCAAGUUUGACCCAGUUGAUCUUGCCCCGUUUCUUCCAGUAGACUUUCUGUUGAUGGAGAAGAUUGUGGAGGUGUUGCUGCAAGAUAUUCCUAAAGUUCCAUUCCUGCAACUCUAGAUCUCUGAAUUCCUCAAUAACAUUUAGGAAGUGUAGGAGGUCUUUGCAGGUUUGUAUAGUUUGUGCCAGACUAGGGAGAUUUGACUUCCAAUUCUUGAAUACCUGUUGAAGAUUCGCACUAACCUGUUUGGCUUUAUCCUCAGAAGUUGUUUGGGAGGACCAUCCUUGGAGGAGGACCUCCUGGAAGUUGUCAUGGAGCAGCCAAAAGUUCUCAAAUUUGAAGGAUUCUGAUUUGGGGAUGAUGGUAGAAGCUGAGAUAACACAAGGUGUAUGGUCUGAUGUGUCUCUUGACAGCCCGUUAGCUAUGGUGUUUGGGAGGGAGGAGGUCCAUGCCGUGGAAGUGAAAAACCAAUCCAGUCAUUCUAGCAGAGGAUUUUGCUAUUUAUUUGUCCAGGUGUAUUUGCAUCCUUUAAGGGGUAUUUCUGUUAAUCUAAGGCUACUAAUCGCCUCAUUGAAAUGUAACAUGUCUUGAAUGUUUGCACCGGGCUUGUUUCUAUCACUUGGUUUUCUGAUGAGAUUAAAAUCUCCCACAAUCAGCCAUUUUAGAUCAUCCGGCAUUGAGAUUUGCUUGAACUAGUUGAGGAAGUCAAGUUUCUUUUCAGGUGUGCAGGGGUUAUGGAUAUUAGUAAGGAUCCAUUGCUCCCCUGAAAGGAGGCACUGCAAUUCCACUGAUUGGCUGAAAGAGUUCUGAAAGAUUAGUUCCCCUUGAAAUUUUGAUGAGUCCCAUAUAAUUAUAGAUCCCCCUAAAGCUCACAAUGAUGGAAGGAAUUGAAAGGAAUCUAGGCGUGAAGGAUAGAAGUUUUUGAGAUAUGCUGCAUCAAAAAAUUCUUUCUUUGUUUCUUGUAGACAGACUAUGUCACAUUUACCUUCAGUGAUUUUGCUUCUUAUGGCAUUCCAUUUAUUAUUUGAAUUUAUCCCCCGAAUGUUCCAAGAAAGAAUAGAUCAAUUUCUCUUGUUGCUAUUAGAAUUCAUCAAUUAAAUUGUCAGAAUGGGGGGGGGGACUUGAAGCAAUAUGCACAGCAUAGAGCAAAAGCAACAAUUAUUCAAUUCAAACCAUUUCAGACAUUGCCAAUGGCCGAUUUGCCAGCAAGAUAAUUGUAACCACAAAAUAUAGUCUGGACCAGAGAAACACAACCAAAAUAAAGUUCUGAACAACAACCAAACAUCCAUGAGGUAAACAGUCAUAAAGAGUUCGGGAAGGAUAUGAACCAUCCAAUAACUUGGUUAUGAGGCUAAGAAAAACACAUCACUAAGAGCCUUCCAUCAGAUCUUGGUCUUCUUGCUCCCUUCAAGGGUAUCUUCUUCAUCAACAAAACAUUUCUUCUUCUUGCCCUUGUCCUUCUUGGUUGGGCUGUUCUUGGUGGAGGUCGAGUAGUCACCUAUGGGAGUGAAGCGUCUAUUCUUGGUGAGGAGAGAGCCUUCUGACAGCUUAGUGGGGUCAAUCUUGCAGAUUUUCUAUCCUAGGGCCUUCAUGUUUGAAGUUGAGAUGGCAGUUGGAGUGAUGGAGCAUGCAAAGCAAUUCUUAUUAGCAUAAGCACUUUGUUUGAAACCUGCAUUCCUAUCUUUGAUUCUUGGGCUUCUUCUUACUGCAGGCUCAACUUCUGGUGUAAAAGCGGGGCCCCUCUUGAUUCUAGCCUUUCUUAUGGGGGGAUCCUCUUCUGGUUCAUCAGAGCAGUCCUUGAGAAGUGGGGAGCUUUCCAUACCCUCCUGCUGAUAUGUGCACAUGACCUGAGUAUCAGCUGGGCAUUGGGAAGGGAGGGUGAAGGACAUCAUAGAUGAAGUUGGUGAGCAUUCCAGCAUGGCCUUCCAGGCAUGGGAGAAGAGAAAAGACUUGGCCCAAGUGAAGUGUGCCGGGGAGAGCAACAUCACCACAAAGAAUGCAGCUCAGUCACUUGGGAUAUGAACCACUUGCUCUAGGCAGCGCAUAGGUGAGAAGUGCUUGGCCCACAGUCUAUAGAGGUCUAGCUUCGGGGUGGUUGGUCUAACCAAUUUGCCAAAAAAAUCAUCAAACCCUGGGUCUCUUUGUGGCAUGAUGGCUAGUGCCAUGUUAACAUUGAUAUUAUUCCCUGGGUUUUGCUGGAGAGGUUUAGCUAGUCCCAUUGCCUGGUCCACAUCCAUCUGUUGAGGAAGCACUAUCUCUGGCAACUGUUGUUCUGGUGCUUGUACAUUAUCUGGUUGGGGAGCUUGCAGUGCAUUUGGCCCAUGGGGUUCCUGCACAAUCUGACCAUUAGGGUGAUGAAUCAAAACAUCAGGUGCCAGUGUAGGGGUAGGGAGAGCCAGUACCGCUUGCUGGAUCUGGGCCUCUGGAAGGUUGUUCUCAUGCUCUUCUUGGAUCAGUUCCUGUUGCAAAUCCCUGAAGGGACUAUCCAUGUCAAUGUUGCUGGAGGGUUGUAGAGGUGGUGAGAGGUUGAAGUGGAGGUCAAGCUCAUCCUGUUGCACCUCUUUCUCCUGAUUUCCCUCCUGAGCAGGCAAGAUAUCUACUGGGUCUGGUAUGAUACCCCCAAAUGCUCCCUCAGCUAGAUUAUCAUUUAGAUCCGGAAUGCCAUGCUGUUGCUCAAUGUGCGGUGGUCCUGGAGGAGGGAAUGGUGGUAGGUGUUGUGCCGAUAGGCCAUGCUGAUCGAAGCCAGAGGGAACACAAAGCCACCAUCCUCAAAUUCCCCUGGUGGAAUAUCCUCAUCCUGCAACAUUCCAUCUAGCAGAUUUUGUUAGAUGAUUUCACAUUGUACAGUUAAAGAGACCUCCUCAAAAUCAUCACCUUCCAACAGGAUUAAGUAGUGGGGUACAUCAACUAAAUCUGUCACUCUUGCCUUGAUUAUGAUUCUGGUUAAUAUGUUAUCACGCUGCCAUAAGAUAAGCCUGCCAAAUGAUUUAAUAGCAUCCUUGAUCUUAGCGGUUGAUCUAUAAUCUGGUGGAUACUCAAUCAACAUCAGCCAACACUUGCGAUUAAAGUUUAUUCUUCUCGCAUUAGCACCUCUAUUGUGGAAGACAAAAGAGAACCCCAAGUCGUGGUGGAAGUGAGGACUAUGAUAAACAAGAGCAUCUCUGUCUGAUGGCCUCUCCAUCCGGACGUAGGUCUGUCCUCGCCCAAAAGGACACCUCUGGACCUCGCGCACCCCUAACCUAUAUUCCUCAACCAGAAGGUCCAGAAUGCGAUUGCGGAGAUCACCAAAGAGAAUCUCACCAGGGGGCAGGUUGGAUAUGGAGACGAUGGCUAGGUCUUCAUUUCUGGGGUGGGUUCUUUGGGUCACCACUCGUGCGAACUGCUAUCUUCCUUAGACCAAAACAUGCUCGAAUCCCGCUAGCAUCAUGGGUUCAGGAUCGAUAUUCAGAAACGCCAUUGCCGAUGAUGAAGGAAGAGGAUUGCAGGUGGAGGUGGAGGAGAGGCCGAAUGUAGUUAUGCUUUCUUGAUGCAAAUGGGGAAGAGUUGCAAUGGGGUUUUCUCGCAGUGACUGGGGAGGAGGCACCGAAGCAAGUGAAGGGGUGUCUCUUCCAAUUCCCCAGGGAACUCUGAUAGCCUCUGUAAGCAUAGGCAAUUGCAGUGCAUGCUUGUUGGGCCCAUCAGUAAGAGACAUGGGGGUCUUGAACCAGGUGCGGAUGGCUUCCUCAGACCAAAAGGUGGUUGGAAUCACUAAGGAGAAGUUGCACGAACAGGAGGAUUGACACUAUUUAAUGAAGUGUUGGAGACUGUGAAAAAGGUUGCAAUCAUGAAGUAUAUGCCCUUUCCGCUUGCAGUGCCAACAUCUGACAUUUUGGCGGCUAAACCUCGGGUAGUUGGGGGUUAGGCCCCGAGAAGGAGGACUGUCAAAACCUGCAACAGGAAAAGGUCUCGGCAGAGUUGGGCCACAUGACCCAUUAGCCAGAGGAGCCCGUUGACCAUCUUGAACCCGAGAUGAAUUUGAAUUUUGAAAUUGCAGUCUCCGGAAAACCGAAUGCCUUGGAGAAGAAAUCCUUUAGAAAAUCGAAAUGCGCUUGUCUCUGCAGGGAACCUGAUGAACAGGAAUGCCGGAAGAAGAAGAGCUGGUGGAACGCCAGCCCAAAGGCACAGUAUUUGCCCCAGAAAGAGGAGCCAAUGUUGUUCUUACUGCAUCAGAGUAAGUGUGCCUAUUCUUGAUGGAGAGGGAAGAGCCUCUCCGAGGGAAAGUACCAGAAGCCAGAAUAGGUAGCCAAUUUGUCACUUGAGAGGUGUUCUUGCUUCUUUUGGGGGGUACUUGUUGCCAUUGAUAAGUUGGGCCUAAAUCCCGUUUCGAAAAAAUCCUGGCCUUGCCAAGACCCGAGCUAUUGUAUGGAAAGAAAUCCAAAUUGAAAUCCUCACAAGACAAUGGAGAAGAGCCAAGAAUCAUAUAGGCCUCCUUUUUUGAAGGAAUUGAAAACCUCAAAACCUGUUGAUCCAAUUUGUAGACAGAGUAGAUCUUCACAUAAUCCUUUAGAACGAAUUGGAGGCAAUCAACAACAGAGGAGUCCGUGAGCUUGAAGCGGUUCCGGCUGAAUGAUACCAGCAAGUGAAAGACCGAUCUUGCUGGCUUCCAAAGCGGGGGUGGGAGUCGGCCCGAAGCAUUACGAGUAGCAGGAGAAGAUUCCAAGGGAGAACGAGAGGCCAUCUUGUUGAAGACGUUGAAAGAGGUGAGGGGAGGCAUACCGUGCUUCCGGAAGAUGGCAGUGGAAAGUAGAACUCCAGUAGGGGAUCUUCUUGGGCGUUAAACCCAAACAUGCUAGAGCUGUAGUGGGGAGCCAUGGCCAAGAGGACGAGGAGAGGAUCAUCGGUGAAGAUGCAGACGAGCCAUAUCCAGGAGGGUCUGGGGGUGGACACUAGGGUCGGAGUGGCCACUGGCGGUGGAGGGGGUGGAGGCAUAGGGGAGUCCUCAGCUCUGCAGCACCUAGGAUUGUGCCUGUUCUAGGAUUGUGCCUGUUUGUUGUGGCCUUGAGAGUUUAGAAGCUUUCUGUUAGGGGUAGUGAUUCUCUUCAGGAUCAUCAAAACAACGAAUAUACUAAAUUUAGUUCACUGGAUCUCUGAAUGAACUACGGCACCUCCGAAUCCUGUAUUUAUGGAGUAGGGAAAAUAGGAAGCAGCCCAGCAUAUUUACACAUCUUAUUACCCUCCAUGUUGUUAAAAGUUUACACAUCUUAGUCCUCACAGCGUCAACAAUGACGGAUCUCCUUCGUGACAUCGUCAAAGAACUACAAGCUGAAUUCGCCAUGAAAGAUCUCAGUGCGCUCCAAUGUCACUCGUACAGUGAAGGGCUUCUUCUUAUCAUAUAUAUAUCUAUAUACUAUAUAUUGUAUAUAAUAUCCUGGUAUGGAAUAGGCUAUUCCGUACCCGACUGAUCCAUGGAUCUGACUCGCACCUUCCCCGCUAGUCUUUUUCUCUCCCGCUUCCCCCAUUUUUUUCCGACUUUUUCCUAUGAACGCAUGCCUUCGGUUGUGGGUGCUCCGUUCAGUUCCCGUAGUGGACCCCGCAGCUCACCAUUCGCUGCCGCCGUCUCUCGCCAACCCCGGUCGCUGCCGCCACUCCACAACAGCCUCCCAGUGCUGUUCCCCUUCCCGAUCCUCAUUGCGUUCUUGCUACCGCUCCGCAUCCGCAGCCGCCGUCUCCUCUCCCCAUCCGUAGCCACCGCCGCCUCUCCCCAUCCGUAGCUGCCGCCGCCACUCGCCAUCGGAACCGGCCGCCUACAAUCGCCAUCCACAGCCGCCGUCGCGUAGCGGAAGCCGCGGCUCGCCAUUCGCUGCCGCCGCCGCUGCUCGACAACCGCCACUGCAUGAUUCCGUUUGCGUUUGGAUUCCUCGUCCUUGGACAACGACGAGCGGCCACGCCGCUCGGCGCCCGCCGCCGAGGUCAAGCCCUCCUUCUCCGACUCUGCAGCCGCGGCAGCCUCCGAGACUAAGGCCAAGGUGUUCCGCCUCUUCGGCCACGAGCAGCCAUCCACAAGGCCCUCGGAGGAGGCAAACGUGAGGCUCUGCUUCAUGCUCUGAAUCACGUUGUUUUUUUUAUGGUUUUGAUUUGAAAUCGGUAGAUCGGAUCUGGUUGCGUGGGAUCUGGACGGGAUUGAAGCCUUGGGUUGCAGGUUAGAUCUGAUAGGUUUAUGCCUUGGAUUCAAUGCAGCUUGAUUGCAUAGUGGUACACGAUCUGAUCUGUUGAGCUUGUUUGAAACUAGCCUUCCAAUAUUUUUUCAAUUGUCUGGUAACAAUAGAAUUCUAUUGCCUAUUGCAUUUGCAAUUGCUUACAUAGAUGAUGAGGAUCCCUUGCUUAUGAAUGCUUUGUCGUUUGGGCCAGUGCAUUUUGGAGGUGUUAUAUGUUCUUUUAUGGGGGUUAAUAUUGUUGGGGUCUUUUGGUUCUUUGCAUUAAGAUGCUGACAAAUUGAAGUUUCUUACGAAAAGAAUCGAUCAACUGCUUUAUUUCACAUUGUGUUUGUCUAAAACAUAAGGCCUUGCCUUAGAUAGGUUGCGAUACUAUCUUAUUGCACUGCGUCUUUGCACCUGAUUGCAUAUUUACUUAAAUGACAACCAGAGCACUCUUUGCUUGCAAACAUUUUUCUUUGUCAAGUUAAUUGUCUGUUGAUUGAGGUAUAAUGGGAAUUGUUUGACCUGAUUUCCUUAUUAUCUACUAUUAUACCUGCCAUAUUCAUAUUCAUUGCUGUUCUUUAUUUUGCAGCUGCUGAUGUAUUGCUGUGGAGGAACAGGAACAUCUCUGCUGAAGUACUUGGUGGUGUCACUGCAAUCUGGAUCCUCUUUGAAUGCCUUGGCUACCAUCUUCUGACCUUCGUUUGCCAUGGUCUCAUAUUCUCUCUGGGUGUUCUCUUUCUCUGGUCUAAUGCCUCCUCGUUCAUCAACAAGUAAGAUUUCAGCUUAUUGUGAUAUACUGCACAGACUUAAAAGGAUACAAAGUUUGUUCAUUGCAAGUUACAUGGAUAUAGAAUUAGGGGGUGUUUGGAUAUGAGGUGCUAAACUUUAACAGUGUCACAUCGGAUGUUCGGAUGCUAAUUAGGAGAACUAAACAUGAGCUAAUUAUAAAACUAAUUGCAGAAUCAUGUGCUAAUUCGCGAUACGAAUCUAUUAAGCCUAAUUAAUUCAUCAUUAGCAAUUGGUUAUUGUAGGACCGCAUUGUCAAAUCAUGGACUAAUUAGGCUUAAUAGAUUCGUCUCGCGAAUUAUACUCCAUAUGUACAAUUAGUUUUGUAAUUAGUUUAUAUUUAAUACUCCUAAUUAGCAUCCAAACAUCCGAUGUGAUGGGUGUUAAACUUUAACACCCUGUAGCCAAACAGCCCCUUAGUUAAUGAUGUGAAAUCCUGCCCUUUAUUUCAGGUCUCCCACAUGGAUCCCAGAGGUGAUCAUUCCUGAAGAUCUGGUUGUCAACAUUGCACUAUCUACUCGCUAUGAGAUCAACAGGGCCUUUGUCAAUCUUCGCCAGAUUGCUCUUGGCCGGGACAUAAAGAAGUUCCUUAUGGUACGUCUACUAUGUGAUUGCCUGUGCUGAUCACUGGUACAUGCUUUUUCUUUCCUGUAGCUACUGUAUGUAUGCCUUUUAGGAUUAUCUCGUAUGAAUGCAAAAAUACCCUAUUAUCUCGUAUGAAUGCAAACGUACCCUAUUUCCUGUAGCUUUAGAAACGUUGGACAUUAUUCCUUCUUGACAAGGUUAUAUGCAGUUUUGAGCUCUUUCGUAAAAUUGGAGAUUAUUCCUGAACUUUGCACUGCUCAUUUUUCUUCAAAAACUUAAGCAGAGGCGAGCUUAAUUGCCUAGUAAAGCCAGCCCGUCUGCCUGUGUUUAUAAUUUUAUAUCCAUAAGAAUGCUACUGAUUUCUCAGAGCUAUAUGUCAUGCCAGUGUAUUAUCAGUUUGUCUUUAUCUUUGCUCCAAAUCAAUGCCAUCACUGUUGUUUCUCGAAUACUGGAAAUACUCAUUGGUGCAGAGACAAAUUUUAUUUUAUUUUGAAUCAGGAUGCCGCAGCAGGUGGCAGUACCAUGGAGAUGAGGAUGCGGAACGGUGGGUGUUCGCAGGGACGUACGCGGAUGAGCUCUUUGAAAAAAGAGGUCAGUGAAUCUGGGUUCCUCCCAAUGGUCGCAAGCGAUGAUCCUCUCUUAAUCACUAUAUAUGCUGCACCUAUCACACAUGCCUUUAUCUGUGACUACGAAACUAGCUGACUCAAUGCUGCAAUGGAUAGAAUGAAGAUUUUAUAUUCCCACGAGCCACAUUGCAUAAAUUUGCAAGGUAAUGUUGACUAAAUUCUGUUCAAACAUGAACCAAGAUUUGAAAGGUUAUAACUCUUUUGCUCCUAUAAUUUUGUAGGCAUCCAUGCUUUGGAGAAGAAGGUUGACUGCACUAGCUUCUGAAUUCCCUGACAUUGAACUCAUGUUACUUGCAGUUGGUUCAGCAUGGAGUUUACAACCAAGGGAUGGGCUACAUUCAACCACAGGUUAUGUAUCGUACUUUUAUUUGUUAGUGAAACAGUGCUAUAGUAAAUCUCUGAUACUAAACAUGUCACAAAAUUUCAAACACUACAUUUUUUCACUGGCAAUUUUCUCCCUGUACACAAUCAGUAUCACAAUGGGGAUACCUGAAGGGCAAAAGCUGAAGACAGAAGCAAUUUAUGGUAAUCUUAUUGUUCCCUGAAUCCUUUUCUUUUGUUAGAGAUUCUGUACACAGAUAAUUUGCCACAUUAGUGCAUUUUUAUUUUCAUGAUAAACACAAAUUUGCUACCUCUCCCUCUUAAAAUCUGUAUCUGUUUAUCAAGGGAACCUAAGAUGCAUAUUAUUUAAGCUCCACAGCAUGGCUCCUGCUUUUUUUUUUUGUUCUGACAAUUGCUUCAUUCUCUCCUGUGGACUCCGGUGAGCUAGGGAAGUCUCUACAUUGCUUCCGUGUUUAUUGGGAGAAAACUGAAGGCACCUAGAAAGGGUGUUUUAACUUUUUGCUAUGGCUACCUCUCAGAUGUAAAUUGGCUUCCAGGAGAAUAGUUCACCUAUAAUGGUUUAGGGCUUGCUUUUGUCUGUAUAUUCAGAAUGAUUUGACCGUUGCUAUUUUGACAGCCUUUUACAUUCACAUAUCUGUAUUAUGAAGCAUAAAUAUAAUGUUAGUCCUGCUUGGUUGUCUCUCUCUUUUUUCUCUUUGCACCAUUUUUAUGCACAUAGAUAAUUUUAUGAUCCAUCUAUUCAUAUUCUUGUUAAAAAAUUUCAUGCAGUUUUGGGUACAUUGAGUUUACACAAGGAGUGCAAUGGGGACUCCUCUCAUCCAGGGGGAGCUGCUAGACUAUCAAUAGCCAUCGGUGUCUACAUUAUGUUCUACGAGUACUUUUGUUUUCAUUUCUUAGCAAUGUAAUCGCCCAUGUGUAACUGUAUGUUCCAAACUCUUUCUCUUAAAGGAAAAGCAGUGCCUCUGCCAAUGUUUUGAAAAAACUGUGGAGCACCCUCCUGGAGUCCUUCCCAGUACAAUGCAAUCUUGUCCUAUCAUGCUCGUGGGCACUUUGAUUUUGCAAUCUUCAUCUGUUGAAUGCUAAAAAUUUCUCAGUGGAGGUUCUUAUAUGUUGGACAUGUCGUGUCACAAUAAUUUCAACAUGAGCUGGCAAUCACAAAAUCAUUGUAUUCAAAUAGCAAUAUGUUUUUAGUUGAAUUAAUUGUCAGUGAAGCUGGGCAACAUAUGCUCACUCGGAAAAGGGUUUGAGCAGAUGACAGUUGGUGCGGGAAGGUUAUAUAGUAUCCAAGCUAGUUGUAUGGUCAGCUGGCUGAUUUGUUUAUUGGUUUGAACCCAACGAAUUGUUUAAAAGUUUAUGCAUCUGGCAUUGCUCAUCCACGAGACAGAAUUCUGAAGCUGGGAUUCGCUCAGAUAUAUAUGCUCGCUACCGGAAACAGGAAGUUUGCCGAGUGCCUGAGGCACUCGGCAAAGGCCCAAAAACAUUCGGCGAACCUUCCCACGGCAAACGGUGCAGUUGCCGAGUGUCGGACAUCGGGCACUCGGCAAAUGAUUUGCCGAGUGUCAAAAAGCACUCGACAAACAUUUUCGGAAAAAAAAACAGAAACACCGGCCACGGCCACGGCCACCACGCCGCCACCGGCCGCCACGCCCGCUGCCGCCCGCCACCACGCCGCCUCGCCCGCUGCCGCCCGCCACCACGCCGCCUCGCCCGCUGCCGGAUCCGCGCCAGAUCCGGAGGGGAGAGAGCUGGGGGCCACCGGAUCCGCGUCGGAGGAUAAGAAGGGGGCGCGGAUCCGGCCGGAGGGGAGGGAGCCGGGGAAGGAUAGGCCGGAUCCGGAGGGGAAGAAGGGGACGGCGGCGGGCGGAGGUGGGGGCGGGGGCGGGGGCCGGGCGCCGGGCGGCGGGCGGGGCCGCCGGGCGGCGGGUGGGGCCGGGCGGUGGGGGCGGGGGCCGGGCGCCGAGCGGCGGCGGGCGCUGGGCGGCGGGCGGCGGCGGCAGGAGAGAGGAAGAGGUGGGGGAUGGGUGGGGGUACUAGUGGUGGAGGAAUGAAGGAGAUGGAGGGGCCGGGUGCGGUGCCGGGACUAAUUAACUCCUGCGUGGUUGGGGAAAAAAAGGUCGCCAAGUGUCCUAGGUGUGACACUCGGUGAAGGGUUGUUUGCCGAGUGUCUAAACUAGGACACUUGGCAAAGCUAUUUAAAAAAAAUUAAAAAAUAUCCAACAGUUUCAAAAAAUUGUCAAAAAUUUACAUGAAAUAAUAUAUAUUCUCUAUUGCCUAUACAAAAAGUUUUGUAGUCAAAUCAAAACUCGACCGUCAUUUUGACUCCAAAUCUUAUGCAAUCCUUCUCAACGUUACUAUUCUUCUUCUGAAAUGCUUCGGUUUGUAAACAUCGUACAUGAUGAAAUGUGCAAAACAUUCUCAAUUUUUUUCCACAGCCUCCACGUAUAAUAUCAUCACAUCAUGAUAAAUCUCAUGAUUUUCAGACUUUGCUUGUUUUUUUAUAAUUUAAAAAUACCACUGCCACACGUUCGUGGUCGUGUUUCCUGAACAAGAUGUUCGAAAUUUCUUGUCAUUUCAUGAUCAGGUCUCAAAUUGGGCCAAAUAACAUGAAUAUCAUUGUUCUACUCAUUUUAUUCUAUAAUUUGAAUCACUUGCGGUUCAAAUUUGACUUAUACCAAAAAUUUUCUUGAAAUACAAUUAAUUAAAUAAAUAUAGCAAACAAAUUCAAAAAUAUACUAAACUUUAACAUUGAGUACCACAUGUUGUAUGUGGGGAGUAGAAAAAAUUUCAAGGUGGAAAGAGGAAAAAAAAUUGUUGUUUUGCCGAGUGUCAAAAAAAACACUCGGCAAACCCCACUCUUUGCCGAGUGUUUUUUUUUUGACACUCGGCAAACCCACUCUUUGCCGAGUGUUUUUUUUUUGACACUCGGCAAACCCACUCUUUGCCGAGUUUUUUUUUGACACUCGGCAAAGUCGCACGUUUGCCGAGUGUUUUUUUUUUUUUGCCGAGUGUUUUUAGCCCGGCACUCGGCAAAGAGCUUGUUUGCCGUGUGUCCGAAAAAAAACACUCGGCAAAAAAAAUACUCGGCAAAUUUAAGGUUUCCGGUAGUGGCUAGUGCACAGCUGCAGCUGCUGAGGGCGACCGGAAAACCAAGAGCUGCUGCGGAGGGUCGUCCAUCAGGAUCAGGAUUAGGAUUAGACCAAUUUGUGUUGCUUGCUUAUGCAAUAAUCAUCAAGCUAACCCCAAGCCAGCCAGCCAGCAAACCUCAUCAGCAUCAGUCGCUGUAUCAAGUUGUUAUUAAUGGUAUGGACCAGCACUAGAAGUAUUCACAAUCAUGAUGACGAAAACCCCUAUCAAUCUUCAUCUGCUACUAGCAGACAGACAACUCAAUCAUUCCAAACCCCAACCGGAUUUCCUGACUUUUCAGCGCAACUACACAACAUCGAUCUUGCAUACCCAGCAGCAGGCAGAAGCAAAUAAAAAGGUCCACAAGCUUACCAUUACAACUCAACACUUCUUCUCAUGUUGAUUGCUUCCCAUUUGGACUAUAAAGCCAUUUUCAGGACAAAACAAGACUUGAAUCAACAGCUACUAGCUGUGCUUAUCACAUCAAGACAUUGCAUCUACCUGCUCUAAUCACUGCUAUGCUUGUCAAAUAGAUUGAACACGGUUGCCCAUCUUGGCUUGCCGUGAUUGCAUGUUUAUAUAGGGAUAAAGUCCCAACACAUUACAAUAUAUGUAGUUACAGAUAGAGUUUAGCCAGCAUUCAAAUACAUCAAGAUUCUAUCUCUAUCUCUAGCAGGCCAGCUCAAAUCAUAACAACUCUUAUCUCUAAGUUACAGUCCUCGUCUCAUACGAUGAUUCUUCUAACAGCCCCUCUCAAUCUAAAUUUCUCUUCCUUUUGAGAUUUAGAUUGCUCUUGAAAGCUUCCAGCAACCCGUACGGCAGGGCCUUAGUAAAACCAUCCGCAAGCUGAUCUCUGGAAGCAACUAACUGCACCUGCAACUGCUUACUAACCACACGCUCGCGAACAAAGUGAAAAUCAAUUUCUAUAUGCUUUGCUCUUGCAUGGAAGACUAGAUUGGCAGACAAAUAUGUAGCUUCCAAAUUGUCACACCAUAAACACGGUGGUUGAUGCAGCCGUAUACCCAGCUCUUUUAGCAGGGAUUCCAACCAUAUUAAUUCUGCAGUUGCAUUUGCUAUAAACUUGUAUUCAGCUUCUGUACUCAAUCUUGAGAUAGUGGCUUGCUUUCUAGCACUCCAAGAAAUCAAGUUUGGACCAAAAAAGACUGCAAACCCUCUAGUAGAUCUUUUAUCAUCAACACUUCCUGCCCAAUCAGCAUCAGAGAAAGCACUAACCAAUGUGGAGGAUGACGCCUGGAAAUUUAGUCCAAGAUCCAAUGUUAACUUGACAUACCGAAGUAUUAUUUUUACCGCAGUCCAAUAAACCGUGGUAGGAGCAUGCAGAAAUUGACACACUUUAUUUACAGAAAAUACUAGAUCCGGUCGGGUAAGAGUGAGAUAUUGCAAUGCACCGACGACGCUUCUGUACCUUGUACUGUCGUCUGAAUUUAGCAACUCCCCUUCAUGUUUUGAAAGUUUCUCACUAGUAGACAGUGGUGUAGACAACGGUUUGCAAUUUUCCAUACCAACCCGUGAUAGGAUCUCCUUUGCAUACUUCUCUUGUGUUAGCAACAUAGUAUUCUUAUCUCUUUUAACUUCAAUACCCAGGAAAAAACUGAGGUCCCCCAGAUCUUUUAGAGCAAAAUCCUUCUUGAGAUCAGCAAGCAAUGCGGUAACAGCAUCACUCGACGAACUUGUUACAAUUAUAUCAUCAACAUAAACCAACAUGUAAAUUAUGACACCCAACUUUUGAUAGAUGAACAAUGAGGUGUCUGAUCUAGACGCAACAAAUCCAAGUGCAAUAAGUUUGGAACUUAACUUAGCAUACCAAGCUCGCGGGGCUUGUUUCAAGCCGUAGAUAGCCUUGUCCAAUUUGCACACAAGAUGUGAAGCUCCUUUUUCAAAUCCUGGAGGUUGCCUCAUAUAAACUUCUUCUUCCAGAACGCCAUGAAGAAACGCAUUCUGCACAUCUAAUUGUCUAAGACACCACCCUUUUGAAAUAGCAAUUGAAAGAACAAGCCUGACAGUUGCAAUUUUAACCACUCGGCUGAAUGUAUCUUCAUAAUCAAUGUUGUACCGUUGCCGAAAACCCUUAGCAACUAGCCUUGCUUUAUAUCUGUCAAUAGUACCAUUUGAUUUUUUCUUGAUUUUAAAUACACAUUUGCAAUCAAUAAUAUUAUUGCCCUUUGUUUCAGGAACUAAAUGCCAAGUGCGAUUUCUAAUGAGAGCAUCAAAUUCAUCUUGCAUUGCGGCUUUCCAUCUAAGAUCACCAAGAGCUUCACGAAAAUCACAUGGUUCCCCAGAAGCUUGAGAAAAGCCCGUACCUAAUCAUAUCCUUGAACUGUUUUGGUUUAGUGAUUCCGCUUUGAAGCCACAUUCAUCGUCUUGAUGGUGAAUCAACAGGUACAGCCACAUCUGAUGGAGCAGCUGCCCCAGAACCAGCAGCCACGGAAGAUCCAACCAAAUCCACGCCGGAUCUAGCUCCCGCAGAUGAUCCGGCAUCCUCAUCCAGUGCUCCUGUGGGAGACGAUUCGCGCGUUGGAGACGCGAGUGCUGGCGGUGCUCUGUCCCCUAGCGCUGGCGGUGAGACCAUACUGGUGGGUCCGCUCUGUCCCCCUCCCCUCCCCACGCGGCGAUGUAGGAGUGGCAGGCGCAGCUACUGGGCCACGCGGUGGAGACGGAACCGGCGAGUCAUACGUUGGCGCGACAGGAACAGCCAGCGGAUCAGCUUGAAAAUCAGUGCAUGCGCCCUGAAAAACGCCGCCUGAGUUUACUGUACCGCUGUGCGCCGGCGCAUCUGAUAGCUCCUCUUGAAAAACAGCCUGCUCAUCUCUAGAUGGCAAAUGAUCAGUAGCGUUAGUAAUAUUGUCAAUGCAACUUACAUCCCCCGGAUUACGAAGAUGAUUAGGUAAAAGGGGAAUCUCUUUUCUAAGAAGAACGCCUGCAUUUGGAUGUAAGUGGGUAAACGGAAAGAUAGAUUAAUCGAAAAUAACAUCACGAGAGAUGUAGGUACAACCCGUGGAAGGAUCUAAGCACUUGAAGCCUUUAUGCAUGAAGCUGUAACCAAUAAAAGUACAUUUAAUAGAUCUGAAAGCAAGCUUUCAAGUAUUAUAGGGGCGGAAGUUAGGCCAACAGGCGCACCCAAAAAUGCGAAGAGAGUUGUAAUCAGGCUUUUCUUGUAGCAAGCGUUCUAUAGGGGUAUCAAAACUAAGAACUUUGCUGGGAAGCAUGUUGAUGAGAUAAGUGGCAGUUAAAAAAGCUUGAUCCCAAAAUUUAAAGGGCAUCAAUGCAUUUGCAAGAAGCGCAAGACCAACUUCAACAAUAUGACGAUGCUUCCUUUCAACAAAAUCGUUUGCUGGUGGGCAUGAGGGCAUGAAACACGAUGUGCUAUGCCAAUCUGCUGGAAAAAGGAAUUCAAUUUCUCAUAUUCGCGUCCCCAGUCAGUUUGCACAGAAAUAAUUUUCUUAUCAUAUUUUCGCUCCACGAGAUUCUGGAAUUCUUUAAAAACUUGGAACACAUCAUAUUUCUUUUUCAAGAGAUAAGUCCAGGUGAAUCUACUAAAAUCAUCAAUGAAGCUCACAUAGUAAGAAUAACGACCCACAGAAGUAGGUGCAGGACCCCAAACAUCAGAGUGAAUAAGAUCAAGCAGAGCUUUGGAUGAAUUUUCUGAACUCGAAUAUGGUAGUUGAUGGCUUUUAGCCAUUUGACAAGCAUAAAAAAUUCACUCAAAACUAGUACCGCCACAAGGGAGAUAGAUUCUAAUGGAUAAAGCCCUCCUUUGCAUCUACCUUUAUGAAGGAUUUUCUUCGUUUCCUGAUCCUAGAUAAAAAAGAAUUUUGGAUGAAAUUCCAGAAAGGCAUUAUUACCAAAAGCUAGUAUGUGGAUGGAAACAAGAUUUUUGUGGGCAGUAGGAACAUGAAGGAUAUUGUAUAGAUGUAAGGUUCUACCCGGAGUAUGUAAAGUUGAAUGAUCAAUAUUACUAAUUUGCAGACCUGAACCGUUGCUAGCCUGAACUUGAUCUCGACCAUUGUACUUGUCUUUCACAGUUAACUUGUCAAGUUCUCCAGUGAUGUGGUCGGUUGCGCCACUGUCUACAUACCAAUUUGUAUCAUAGCCGUAACCUGUAGCUGCAGCGCCGGCCACUUUCUCCUGGUCAUCCUCGUCGUAUCUGUACCAACAUCUUGGUGCUUCAUGACCGACCUUUUUGCAGAUUUGACAGACAACCUUCUUGGGCUGAUUUCCACUAUUAUUGGUCUGGCCGCCCCUGUUUUGGCCACCACUGGUGCGCCCAUGGUUGCGCCCUCCUUUUCUUCGUCCUCCAUUGCCACGUCCUUGAAAACCUCCACGAGAACCUGAAUUUGUUGACGAUGUGUAGUGUCCCCCUUUAUUAUAAGCCUCCGGGUGCAUCUCAUAGGACAGAAGGUGAGAGUACAAAUCGGAAAGAGAGAGGGGAUCGGCGCAGCCAAGCAUUGAGGACACAAAUGGAUUAUACUCGAAAUCAAGACCAUUAAGGAUGUAAGAUGCCAUCUCACCAUCAUCAAUGAUGACUCCUACUGCCGCUAGCUCAUCCUUGAUAGCCACCAUCUUGGUGUAAUAUGUUGAUGCAGUCAUGCUACCCUUCUUGAGGGUAGACAACCUCAUGCGUAGAUUUGUCACGCGUGCUCUUGAUUGUGCCGCAAACAUUGUCUGCAGCGCACUCCAUGCUCCAGCCGAUAUCGCCUCUGACACCACUUGUGCUAGCACUUCCUUGGUGAUGGAGUUGAGGAGAUAACUCAGCAGUUGCUGAUCUUUCGCCACCCAUAUAUCAUAUUCUGGGUUAGUGACCAAUUCUUUCUUGCCAUCGGCCUUCACCACUUCCGUGGUCUUGGCCAGCUCCUUGACAGAUCCGUCGAGGAUUCCCAUCAGCUGCGCGCCUCGCAUAGCGGGCAAGAAUUGAGCCUUCCAUAAGACGUAAUUCUCCCAUAUAAGCUUUUCAGCUACAGGAGCUCCGAGGGGCACCGCCGUAGGCGAAGCAGAUGAUGACGCCGUGGAUGUGUAUGGCGUGUUCCUAGAGAGGGUGGAGUAGUGGAAGAAGCGCUCUGAUUACCAUGUCAAAUAGAUUGAACACGGUUGCCUGUCUUGGCUCGCCGUAGUUGCAUGUUUAUAUAGGGACAAAGUCCCAACACGUUACAAUAUGUAGGAGCGGCAGGCACAGCUGCUGAGCCACGCGGUGGAGACGGAACCGGCGUGUCGUACAUUGGCGUGACAGGAACAGCCAGCGGAUCAGCUUGAAAAUCAGUGCAUGCGCCCUAAAAAAAUGCCGCCUGAGUUUACUGUACCGCUGUGCGCCGGCGCAGAUGAUAGCUCCUCCUGAAAAACAGCCUUCUCAUCGCUAGAUGGCAAAUGGUUAGUAGCAUUAGUAAUAUUGUCAAUGCAACUUACAUCCCACGGAUUACGAAGAUGAUUAGGUAAAAGGAGAAUCUCUUUUCUAAGAAGAACGCCUGCAUUUGGAUGUAAGUAGGUAAACGGAAAGAUAGAUUCAUCGAAAAUAACAUCACGAGAGAUGUAGAUACGACCCGUGGAAGGAUCUAAGCACUUGAAGUCUUUAUGCAUGAAGUUAUAACCAAUAAAAGUACAUUUAAUAGAUCUGAAAGCAAGCUUUCGAGUAUUAUACGGUGCAAGUUAGGCCAACAGGUGCACCCAAAAAUGCGAAGAGAGUUAUAAUCAGGCUUUUCUUGUAGCAAGCGUUCUAUAGGGGUAUCAAAACUAAGAACUUUGCUGGGAAGCAUGUUGAUGAGAUAAGCGGCAGUUAAAAAGGCUUGAUCCUAAAAUUUUAAGGGCAUCGAUGCAUUUGCAAGAAGCACAAGACUAACUUCAACAAUAUGAUGAUGCUUCCUUUUAACCAGACCCUUUUGCUAGUGGGCAUGAGGGCAUGAAACACGAUGUGCUAUGCCAAUCUGUUGAAAAAAGGAAUUCAAUUUCUCAUAUUCACCUCCCCUGUCAGUUUGCACAAUAACAAUUUUCUUAUCAUGUUUUUGCUCCACGAGAUUCUGGAAUUCUUUAAAAACUUGGAACACAUCAGAUUUAUUUUUCAAGAGAUAAAUCUAGGUGAAUCUACUAAAAUCAUCAAUGAAGCUCACAUAGUAAGAAUAACGACCCACAGAAGUAGGUGCAGGACCCCAAACAUCAGAGUGAAUAAGAUCAAGCGGAGCUUUGGAUGAAUUUUCUAAACUCGAAUAUGGUAGUUGAUGGCUUUUAGCCAUUUGACAAGCAUCAAAAAUUCACUCAAAACUAGUACCGUCACAAGGGAGAUUAUUAUGACUAAGCACACCCUGAACAAUAGGAUAAGCUGGAUGGCCUAAGCGACUAUGGCACUUAGAAACAGAAGGUUUGCUAACACCAUAACCUUUCUUGCCGCCGCUUUCUUCUGACGAGAUAGAUUCUAAUGGAUAAAGCCCUCCUUUGCAUCUACCUUGAUGAAGGAUUUUCUUCAUUUCGGAUACUAAAGAAUUUUGGAUGAAAUUCCAAAAAGGCAUUGUUAUCAGAAGCUAGUAUGUGGACGGAAACAAGAUUUUUGUGGGCAGUAGAAACAUGAAGGAUAUUGUUUAGAAAUAAAGUUCUACCCGGGGUAUGUAAAGUUGAAUGACCAAUAUUACUAAUUUGCAUACCUGAAUCGUUGCCAGCCUGAACUUGAUCUCGACCAUUGUACUUGUCUUUGACAGUUAACUUGUCAAGUUCUCCAGUGAUGUGGUCGGUUGCGCCACUAUCUACAUACCAAUUUGUAUCAUAGCCGUAACCUGUAGCUGCAGCGCCGGCCACUUUCUCCUUGUCAUCCUCAUCGUAUCUGUACCAGCAUCUUGGUGCUUCGUGACCGACCUUUUUGCAGAUUUGACAGACAACCUUCUUGGGCUGAUUUCCACUAUUAUUGGUUUGGUCGCCCCUGUUCUGGCCACCACGGCCACCACUAGUGCACCCACGGUUGCACCCUUCGUUGCCUCGUCCUCCAUUGUCACGUCCCCGAAAACCUCCAUGAGAAGCUGAAUUUGCUGACGAUGCGUACUGUCCCCCUUCAUUAUAAGCCUCUAGGCGCAUCUCAUAGGACAGAAGGUGAGAGUACAAAUCGGAAAGAGAGAGGGGAUCGGCACGGCCAAGCAUCCAGGACACAAACAGAUUAUACUCAAUAUCAAGACCAUUAAGGAUGUAAGAUGCCAUCUCACCAUCAUCAAUGAUGACUCCUACUGCCGCCAGCUCAUCCUUGAUAGCCACCAUCUUGGUGUAAUAUGUUGAUGAAGUCAUGCUACCCUUCUUGAAGGUAGACAACCGCAUGCGUAGAUUUGUCACGCGUGCUCUUGAUUGUGCCGCAAACAUUGUCUGCAGCGCACUCUAUGCUCCAGCUGACGUCGUCUCUGACACUACUUGUGCUAGCACUUCCUUGGUGAUGGAGUUGAGGAGAUAACUCAGCAGUUGCUGAUCUUUCGCCACCCAUAUAUCAUAUUCUGGGUUAGCGACCAAUUCUUUCUUGCCAUCGGCCUUCACCAGUUCCAUGGUCUUAGCCGGCUCCUUGACAGAUCCGUCGAGGAUUCCCAUCAGCUGCGCGCCUCGCACAGCGGGCAAGAACUGAGCCUUCCAUAAGACAUAAUUCUCUUGUGUAAGCUUUUCAGCUAAAGGAGCUCCAGGCGGCACAAGACGUAAUUCUCUUGUGUAAGCUUUUCAGCUAAAGGAGCUCCAAGCGGUGCCGCCGUAGGCGAAGCAUAUGAUGAUGCCAUGGAUGUGUAUGGCAUGUGCCUGGAGAGGGUGGAGUAGAUAGAUGUGUUUAUGGAAGAAGCACUCUGAUUACCAUGUCAAAUAGAUUGAACACGGUUGCUUGUCUUGGCUCACCGUGGUUGCAUGUUUAUAUAGGGACAAAGUCCCAACACAUUACAAUAUAUGUAGUUACAGAUAGAGUUUAGCCAGCCUUCAAAUACAUCAAGAUUCUAUCUCUAUCUCUAGCAGGCCAACUCAAAUCAUAACAACUCUUAUGUCUAAGUUACAGUCCUGCCUCAUAGGACGAUUCUUCUAACAAUGCUAACCCCAUCUAUGGAUCUUAUUCACAGGCCAGCUUCGUGUCAAAGCUGGUCAAACAUAUGGCGAAGGCCUGGAAAGCCGACAGCGGGUACCGGUAGUCCAUGGUGAUCGAACGUAUCCUUUGCAACUUUGCCGAAUUGCAAGAUCACCGUGUCGUGGCUCGACGACGCCUGGGGCUGCGGCGUCUGUCGAGCAGGAGGUGCCGAAGCCCCUGCUGCGGCUGCCUGUGCCGCAGAAGCUAUCAGCUGGAAGUUCUUGACUGAUGCCACCGUCACACGGCCACGGAAGUUGAGGCAGCAGCAUUGCAGCUGCUCGUGCCACCUCGACGCCUUGUUGCACAGAACCAGGGGCCUCUCCUUGUCUGCGUCGUCGUCGUCGCCGCCGCCUCGCUGAUUUCCUCCGCCAAACUCCGAGUACCGACAACUGCUCAAGUCCAUGGAGCUAUCUGCGAUGGAGUACUUGGAGAAAGAAGUUGCUGUGCUGCGGAAGGACUCGUCGAAUAACCUCGGGAGGAGCUCUUUCGGUUGCCCAGGCACAACACCGCCAGGCUCCCUGCUGGUCGGGGCGGCGUUCUCCGUCGGAGCGAUGCCGGGCCUCAACAUCUUCUUCGAAGAUCACGGCUGCGGCGGUUCCAAUAGAUGGCCGUGAGGUGGACGGCCUUUCAUCGCGGUUGUUGUCGCCUCUAAAAAACCUGACGAAGGGAAAUUGGUCCAUCGCGUGUGCGGGCAGGGGUGAACAACCGGGUAGGCGCGCUGGUCCUACCUGGGUACGAAAUAGCGGAUAUAUGGUGAGUACUCUAAAGCCAGCCAUAGAAUUAAUAAUUAUUCUAUAGCCAGGGCACUGGCAGUCCAUGAUUGGCAGUCCAUGAUUGGAAUUACUACGAGGGUCCACCUCCCUGCUGAUCCGGGCUCCUACGAGACGAGCGAGCUGAGGCGCCUGAGCGACGGAGCCGGUCAUUGUGUAAUCGAAGCUAGGAGAAACGACAGUCAUUAGCCAUUACUACGUAAUCAAAGCUACAUUGACGUUCAAAAAAAAUUCUCCUUAUCAGAACUGCAUCAUGCAAGUGUAUCGUACACUGGUUACGAGAAUACUUGGGCUUGGUUUUGUCUACACGUUCAAAAACUUACGAGAAUACUUGGGUUGGCUGUUUUCUGUAAAGAAAUAAAGAAUUCUUUUACAAGAAUGCGUGGAUCACGGUACUAGAUAAUUUUUACGACAAUACUAGGUAGUUAUCUGAUGGUUUACUAUAUCUACUAUUUUAGCGGUAUGAAUUACGAUAAUGCAUGGCUUGUGUACUGGAAUCUAUUUGGUGGAUUACGAUGAUACAUUAACAUAGAGGGAAGGUUUAAAUUUGAACACACAGCUAUUUUGGUGGGACAUACUUCAUUGAAGAACGACUUGGCUUAAACACUGUACAAUAAUUUAGAAGGCUCGUAGAUACAUAUGUCUACACCCAGAAUUUGAGAAAAUCAUUUAUUUGGAGCUUCUCUCGUUUUGUUGCAGCUAGUUGGCCAGAGAUAUUGAAAUCAGAUUUCAACCGUGCCUAUUAUUAGCUGCUCGUAAGUGAGCGCAUCUUGCCCAGGACUUGCCAGAAGACCUCAUCACCUGAAAACUUCGUAAUAACAAGGAGAAUAGUUAAAAAGUAAGUUCAUUUCACAUCUGUAACAAGUGUUUAGAUGGCUAAUAGCAUAUAUGCAUGCAGAUUAGGCAUAAACCAAUUUACCACCAAUUUUUACGAGAAUGGCAUCAUCAAUUCACCACAAAGUUAUUUACCACAAUUGGAAUAAUCAAGUUACUAUAAAAUAAUAUCGAGUUUAUUAGAAUCCCUCGUACCAGAACUACGAAAAUUGAUACUUACAUGGUCAAAAUUACCACAAUGGCAUGCUAUAAUCAAUUUACCACAAUGGCACAAUCUAGUUACUAUACUAUGUUUCUCAAAAAAAAAAUGGACCAAUUACCAUAACAGCAUGACCCAUUUACCAGGAACUAAUUCGUAACUACUACGGUGGUGUCAACUGUCAAGUUAGCACAACUGCAUUUACUAUAAUCCAAAUUGCUCGACCAUGGGAGUAUGAUGUAAGACAAAUAGACAAUGGUUAAAAGAUGUAAUACAAAAGUAUGGUAUACCAUGACAUAUAGAUUAAGUUGUAUCACAAGUUCUGGCUGGAAACUUGUUGGCUGGUGUUCAGUGAGCGGUAAAUAUUAAAAGAGCAGCACAAACCUAAAUUGGGCUCCUUUUCCUGCAUAUGUAGUGAUUUAAAAUUAGAACGAAUGAACUACAUGAAUGAGAGCAAGCAGGAUUGAACCAAGUAUGGUAACCACAUGAUGAUCAGAUACUAAUAAACAUUGUUUUGCCUACUGAACACUAUGAUCAGAGUGCCCUACUUACUACAAUGAAGUGCCCAAUUUACACAAAUUAUAGCAUUGAGGAACCAAUUUACGAUAAUUGUGAGUACUAUAAAUAAACAUGUAGCAAUGAUAAUGUGACAGAUGAUUUACCACAAGCAAGCAAAAUGAUGCUUGAAGACACGAUUUAGCAAUGCAAAAUGGUAGAAUUUUACAUAAUUCAACAGUCUAUGGACGAUAGUUAUGAAGUGAUUUACUACAACUAGGACAACAGCUAUUUACCAUAAUUAAACGUCUAGUGCCCAAACUGUGGCAGGUGAUUUAUCAAGGGCGAAGGAUUCAGGAUAAUGACAGGCUUGAUUUGACAAUACAAAUUGAUAUGCAGUCACCGUAAUUGUAUUGGUGUGACUGAAAACAAUAAACAUUGCCUUCAAAAAAUGUGUUGGGUACAGACUGAUUUGUUGCACAGAACACUCAUCCUUUUAUCUCUGGGAGUAAUGAGUAAAACACAACAAAAAUGAUGGCAACUAAGAUACUGUCAUAUUACUUUGACUAUGGCCAUCAGCCUAGAAUUCCAUGAAAUCUGAUGCGGACAGACAUGCUAGCUGAUUUUGAUCCCGUUCAGACUUACUCCCAAGGGACGUCGCCGACCAGCACCCGGUCGCCGUCCUCGACCUCGUACACCAGUGUGUACUCGCCGCUGAUCACGGGCUCCUCGGCCUCCUCCCCCGCUGCCUCCUCGCCGCAGCGCCAGCCCACCGCGGCGGCGGCUGGGUCCCUUUGGGCUGCGCAAUCGAGGGAUUUUUUUUUCUCGCAUGAUCAGACAACGCGAGCACGCAUACACAGUUCUUGGAACAAACGAGGCGGCGAUGGAGUACGUACCGGCGAGCAGGCUGCGGAAGAGCUUGCCGACGGCGGCGGAGAGCUCGGCGUAGCCGCCGUACGCCGUGAGGUCCACCUUCUGCCCGAUGGGCACUCCGUCCAUGUUGAUCUUCACGAACAGGCCGCCGCUCUUGUGCGGUUGUGCCCGCCCUCGCCGGCGCCGCCUCCCUUGGCGCCGCGGCCUCCCUUAACUCCGCCGUCCUGAUGAUGAGCCGACGACGACUGCGGCGAGUACCUGAUGGACGCCAGGUUCCUCCUGAACGACCGCACCGGCGGCCACCCCUCCACCGGGCGGAGGGGCCGGCGGGCGGCACGGGAGGAGGGGCCGGCGGGGGCUGCCGCCGCUCGCCAUAUCCCGUGGCGGCAGGAGGGGGCGGGAGGGCGGAGGUGGACCAGAUCGGUUGGGGCGAGGGAGGGGGACCUGCCCGGAGUUGGGAGCGAGAUUUUGGGUAGCGGCUGCGUGCGUGGGGGCGGGCGGGAUGGCUGACGGGGAGUCGAUGGAUUUUGGGCGGCAGCGGCGGACGCGGAUAAGGGGCGUUUUCUUCCCGUGUCUUAUUUUUAGCACGUGUCACAUCAAAUGUUUAGAUACUAAUUAGGAGUAGUAAACGUAGACUAUUUACAAAACCAAUUACAUAAGUGGAAUCUAAACGGCGAGGCGAAUCUAUUAAGCCUAAUUAAGCCUAAUUAAUCCAUCAUUAGCAAAUAUUUACUGUAGCAACACAUUGUCAAAUCAUGGACUAAUUAGGCUUAAUAGAUUCGUCUCGCCGUUUAGAUUCGUCUUAUGUAAUGGGUUUUGUAAAUAGUCUACGUUUAAUACUCCUAAUUAGUAUCUAAACAUUCGAUGUGACGGGUGCUAAAAAUAAGUCAGUGGAAGAAAACGGGGCCUAAGAUUGAGGAUCGAGCCGACGAGCGGUCCCAUGACGAGCUGAUGAGCCUAAAGACUCGUUACUCCCGGCUACCGUUCGACUCCGUCGCUAGGCUCGCCGGCUCGGUCGAUCGUGGGACGGAUGAUCUCGAUUUGAACGGAUGGAUGAUCCAGCUACAGAAUAAUCUAUUCUGUGACCAACUACGGAUAAAUAGAUCCCUUUAUAUAUAUAUAUAUACAUAUAUAUACAUACAUACAUAUAUAUAUACAUAUAUAUACGCGUGCGCGCGCACACAGCUGGCAUCAGAACAUGUUGGAGCGGAAAAGAACGACCAACGUAGAGGACUGGCUCGAUUAAUUGGAAUAGGAAGUCUCUGGAUUUUGAGCAGCAUACCAUGCAUGAUGUCUCGUUCAUUUGUUUUUGUGCCAGUCGCACGUUGUCCUUGCUGACUUGCCAGAAUCUAACACCGAGAGAGUAGCAAGCUAUUUGUGCUACAUGCUAAAUUAACCAAUUAUGGGCCUCUGACGACCUGCUGGUUGUGAACACACUCAUCUGUUGUGCGUUGUUGUGGUUGAGGACAUCUCGUUAAGCACAUACAUGCAGUUUUUUCGUUGUAUAUACAAUAAGAUAAAUAGUUCACUGGAAAAGAAAACAGACAAUAAGAGCACAUGCUUAGCUGUUGUGACAGCAAAACUAAGUAUUAAUAUUAGAAGUGCAGUUGUGGACUCAAAUUUUUAAAAAUCUCUCUCUCUCUCUAUAUAUAUGUAUUAUGCUUAACAAUCUGAAUGUUAUACCUUUUAUCACUCUUGUUUCCUCUCCUCCAUGUUUCUACUACUCCUUUCUAGUUCUGUUAGUUGGCGAUUGUAUACAGAACAUAUAAGGGGAAAUAUAAUAUCAAUCUUUAGUUCCCAUGAUAACAAUAUACAUAAAUUUUAGGUCGAGCAACGCCAAAGGUGAUGAUAUGUUGACAAUAUAUAUAAAUUUGAUAACAAUCGGUACUUUGUAACUGUGUAUUUAAGCAUAGUAAUGGACAGUGGAACAGCGAAAGGAAAUAUUAAUAAGCAUAGCCAUGUGCCCAAAGUUAAAAAGCUCGACAUUUGCUAAUCUAUUUAUAAACUCAAAAUUAAUUAAAGAUUUUGAUCGUUUCAUAUAAUUGAAGAGUUAACGACAUAUAAUGAUCAGUUGAGGUACAGAACAAACAUGCUUUACCAAAUGGAAAAUAACAACCCUCACAUGAGAUUUUCAUUGGAACAUGCAAAUCAGUAUAUAAGUCAAUCAACAGAAUAAUUAAAUCAUUUAAAUAUAUAAUCAAAUCGGUAGAACACCUGCGUCUUAUCUCAAGUUGAACUAGGGAAAACGCACAAAUCAAAUGCUGAUAAUGAAGUGGUAACAGGGAGGGUGAACAGAGAGUACUAGAUAGACCAAGGGGAAAUGGAGAACAGAGGAGGAGGAGCAGAAAUCAAUUGCAAGCAGGGAGGCCAGCAGCAGCUAUGCGGCGCGCCACGACCGAGAUGAAGGAGACGACGGUAGCGUCCAGCACCAGAGAUCCGACAGGUAUCCUGCGUGGUAGUGAGGUUGUAUGCGGCCUACGCAUUGCCUCCGCCCCUCGGCGUCCGGGCCACGAUCUCCAUCGCCUAGCUAACGCUCAUCACAGCAUGGGGCGGGAUCUCCUCUGCAGCCGCAACUGCAAGGAGGGAGUCAGCGACAGCUGCGGCUGUGAGGAAGGGGGCGACGGGUUCCAUCGAUGCGAGCAGAGAAGGCCGAUUUUCAGGAGACACCUCAUGACGCUGCCAGAGCAUCAGUCAGGUCAUACUCCAUAAAAAAAUAUGUAAACCGUAAAAUAGUGCAAUUGUCUCAGGAUAUAUACGCAUUACAAAUACCUACAGAGACAAACAUUUCACUCCACACCAGAAGGUCUAUCUACAAUAAUAUACAGGCCAGUAUAUGAAGUUCCCCACUUAACUAAUGCUUAGAUGGAUUAUCACGAAGAACAACAUAUCGUUGGACUUGAGGGACGUCUAACGUGGCAAACCAGCAGUCGAGAGGAACUCUUGCUCCAGACUGUAGAACUUUUUGCUACCUUGAGAUGAGGAAAGUUCAGAUUUUUUCCCAAAAUCAAUGCCUGAUAACUGAUAGCUGUUUAUAUCACCUUUCAUAAGCAAGGGUUGCCUCUCUUCAUCUUUUCCAGCAGCAGGUUGAUUGGACUCUGCUCGUUUUGUCCUCAGAAAUUGUAGUGCCAUCUCCACUUGCUUCAUAGUAGGUCUUUGGUCACUUUGGAGUCUCACGCACAUCUCCACAAGAGAUGCAACACAAUUUAUUUCUUCUUCAGACGCUUCCUCGAGAACUUGAGGAGCUACUAUUUCCGUAAUAGGCCUAUUCUUCAUCUCCCACAGAAAGUAGUUAGACAAGUUUUGCUUUGUGCCCGACUCACUUGUAAGAAUAGGCUCCUUUCUUACAAGCAAUUCCAAGAGUACCACACCAAAACUAUAAACAUCACUCUUUUCAUUUAAUUGCCCAGUAUGGUAAUACUCUGGAUCUAAGUACCCAAACGUUCCUUGGACAUUGGUAACUACAUGUGUUUGAUCUAUUGGAACCAAUCUUGAAGCACCAAAAUCUGACACUUUAGCGGUAUAGUUGGAGUCAAGGAGAAUGUUGGAUGACUUCACAUCACGAUGGAAAACUGAUACUGAAGCUGCAGAAUGGAGAUAGCAAAGAGCCCCAGCAGCUUCGGCCGCAAUCCGGAGGGAGCCAUCCCAUGACAAAACUAAUUCGUUACUUGAACCACCAUGGAGGAAGUCAUAAAGUGAGCCAUUAGGGAUAAAAUCAUACACCAGUAGUGGGACCUCGGUCUCGAGACAACAUCCAAAUAACUUAACAAUAUUCCUAUGGUUUAUUUGAGAAAGAAUUGCAACCUCAUUUAUGAACUGAUUAAUCUCACCUUCCUCAAUAAUUUUAGACCGCUUUAUUGCAACCACACGUUGGUCCGAUAAGAUGCCUUUGUAAACCAUACCAUGUCCACCACGGCCUAGGAUACGUGUGGAAUCAAAAUUAUUUGUUGCCUUCUCAAGCUCCUCCAGAGAGAAAAUCUUUGUCUUUUCACUAGCAUUUUCAUCAGAUAAUAUUAGUUGUUCUAGGAGUAGGCCCUGGUUUCUACGGAAAUACAUCCUACGCAGUCGUUUUUGGAUGUUUCUUUUCCAUCGACGGGUGAGGUAUAUUCCACCAACACUAAGAAGCAGAACUGUAAAACCACUGCACAGACCGAUAAUAACACCUGAAAAGUUGUACCUAUGAGUUCCAUUUUAACAUAAAUAAUAGGGAAAUUUGUCUAGAGGACACUAGAUAAAAACAAACUUUUCUCUAGGACACAGCAGCAAGUUUUAUUAUCUGUAGGACACCGUCCAGUGUCCUCGAGAUAACAAACUGAGUGUCAUAGUGACAAAACCAGGUAAAUGUAGUGUUCUGUAGAUAAAUUUCCACUAACAAUAUCUCAAAAAAUAUACUUCUUACCUAAGAGAGCAUUUUGUUGUUUCAUUGACGAGCACUGUAAUUUGGUUGGAUCAUAUACUGUCUUCUCAGGGCAUGGGGUACAGUAGAAGCUUCCCAUAGUAUUGUGGCACAUUCCUUGACAUCUGUCUUGUUGUUUACACUCAUCAACAUCUGCAAAUUAAGCACAUGUAUGAUUUUUAGGUAGGCAGAAUUUGCUAAAACUUUUCAUAGUUUACUGAUAUAAUCAAAUGUAAAACCAAAGGAAUAAUUACUUCCCUAUUUUAAGACGGCACAUGCACCAUAAUGUUGUAUAUCAUCUUCACAUUAUUAAGACAUCUAUCGAAAAGUUCAUAUAUUCCCUCCGUUUAUUUUUAUAAGGCAUGAUAUGACAUGGCACGGUCUUCCAAAUUAUCCUUUGAUCAUUAAUUUAACUUAAAUUAUAUUGUUUAUGGUUAUAAACUCAUAAUUAUUGGAGAGUACAUUUGGUUACAAAUCCAACCAUGUCAAGUUUACAUCGUCAAAAUAAAAAAAUUAUUGGUUAAAUUAUUGGUCAAAGAUAGCAAUGUUUGAAUCUAGGUAUGCACGUACGCUUUAUAAACAUAAACGGAGGGAUUAUACACCACCAUUAAAUGCCUCAGGUUACAACUAUACUAUAGCAUUGACAAAUUAGUUAUUUAGACAAUGCAAAUAUCAUAAUUUUUGUCAUCCAUAUGUAAUGCAUGGCAGUUCAUAACUUCAGUACAAGGUAAAUUUCGAAUAAACUAUAAAUUGUAAUAUUUUACGAACAUAAUAUUUAUGCAGAUAUCUUUUAAUAUGACAUGGAUACUUGGGCAAAAUUAAGGAAAUAAUGAAUUCAAAAGCCACCCACACAGUAGAACGUUGCAACAAAAAAGUCGCAUGUUUAAUACCCACAUGUGUGGUUACCAAGCUUUAAACACAUGACCGCCCCUCUAAAACGACCCCAGUUAGAAUCCAUAGUGUAAAACAUGGUCAUCUAGUAUGAGUAAAAAGUUUACUACACAACUGAACUAGUCGGCCUAGGCAUUUCUGAUCUUUAACGCAUGGGCUGGGCAAUAUGUAUAAGAUGGCUGUGGUUACAAAACACUGAACCCAAUCGACCUUGGUCCAUAUUUCCAAUACAUAUACAUCAUUGUGUUCAAGCAUUCUUCUCCAAGGCUAUUGGUACUAAGGUUGUAUAUUGUGCACACACUCUUGUUUGGAAAGAGAUAUGGCUUCAUGGGCAUAUAAUCUCUCUUGCACCUUAUCUCUUUGCUUUGGUGGCCAAGUGAAGGGCUAACAAGCAAACUAUAUUGGAGGCUCUUACUGAUAAUGCCUCCAUUGCUGACAUGCAAGGGGCCCUUACAGUGGGUGUAAGAGCUGGAUAUUUGGACCUUUGGGAUCUCAUCCUCAGGCUGUGUUGUUGCAGCCUGCUAGUGUGUAGGAUAAAUAUGUUUGACGCCUAUCUUCUUUACGGGAUUAUUCGGCUAAGUCAGAAUAUGAAGAAUUUUUUUGAGGUGCGGUUCAGUUUGAACAUUGGCAGUGUAUUUGGAUAUGUCACUUCUUCAUAUGGCUUGUCGCAUAAUCUCUCCGUCCCAAAAAGAAUACCAUCCUGGAUUCAAAUUUUGUCCAAAAAGAAUGCAAUCUGGGAUUUCAGCAUCGUGCAUGCAUAAUCUAGCAAAUAGAAACGGAUUCCCUCCAUCUUCUCUAUGCAAACACAACUAACUAAAGGUACAUGCGUCUUUUUUAUUCACCCCUAGUUUGUAUGAAAAAUCCCACGAUGUUGUUCAUUUUCGGAUGGAGGGAGUAUGUGAUAGAUGUUGGAUGGUUGAUCGCCUUACUUGUCGAAGCUUACAGCAUCCUGAGCACUAUCCUCUCUAUGACCAAGAGGCGGGAACAAUUAACCACUUGCUUGUACUGUGAUUUUGCCCAACAGUUUUGUUUCUGUUCUACAGAAUGUCGGCCUACAAAGCUUGACUCGGCAACCUGCUGAAUCUUGCUCUAAUGGCUGCUGGUGGUCGUGGAGUAAUGAUUUGGUUGGACUGGCAGGUACUACAAGGAUUAAAUUCCAUCAUUAUUCUAGGGGCUUGGUAUCCAUGGAAACACAUGAAUCAGAGUGUUUUUUAUGGAGGAUCAUCUCUUAAUUUGGAGUUUGUCCGAAGCUAAGGGGCUCUCUCCUUAUUUGCCUCGAGCCCAAAAAUGUAAUGAUGAGCUUAAGGUCAUAGUGGGUUCUCUUUUAGUUUAAAAGGUGCCCAUGUUUUCCUGUAAAUAUCUAGGGUUUGUGGUGCAUGGUGUUGUAUGUGUUUAUCAUACACUAUAUAUUCUUCUUAAUAUAACGAUAUCCAGCUUUCAUACGUGUCCUAGAAAAACAACUUUAAAUGAAAAAUGUCAACUGAGAGAAUGUAGAUCUCGUUGAUACUUAUAAUUUUUAUAUAGAGUUUAUUGUAUCCAUCAGAGUCUAUAUGGAAAAUUAUGAAUUCUUUAAAUAAGAUAAAAUUCAAAUUACACGUAGGAAAAUAUGUGGGCCGGUUCAUGGAGGUAUCAGUGGCAGUGAUGAGGAGAAUAAUACCACCGGUCCAUAUCUUUGACCAGCUGUAAUUUUGCUGCCUGCAGGACAGUUACCAAAAAUCACAAUUUCUGUAGUAGUAUUAAGGACAAAAGUCGCACAUAUAAUCGUGAAGAUAUUUUUGCUGGUGGAUAACCCAUAAGAGGUUUGUCUGGUACAACUUCCUUAUUCGUGUUGGUACUUGGUUCCAAACUUUACUAUCACGGAUGAGCUGCUAGAAAAAAAAAUGUUUGUUGUAGUAUCUAGUUGAUACUAGAAACAUUUUAGGUAUGUAGUUAAGUCACACUUAAAAAUAAAAAUUUCCAAUAUAAAAUAUGUAUUUAGCAUAUAGGAUCAUAAUUUUGUACGGGAAGGGGAGUUUAGUUACCUUCGCAACCACUGUAGAGGUAUGGAUUUCCGUGGAACCCGUAGGAGCAAUUGCAUCGGUAACCAACAUAGCCACUUGUAGAAUUAACUGGAAUGCAAUUGCUAUUUGCGCUAACACAUGCAUAUCCAGAGCUAUUUGCCUGUGCCUCUUGACAAGUUAGAUUCGCAACAACCCAUUUCAAAGAAACUGACUCACUUGAUCUAACAAAAAUGCCAGGGUCAUCGUCAGACAUAUGGUUAACUGAUCCUUCAUCAUCAUCAGGGAUUGUGUACUUGAUAAGCCCUUCAUCAAUAUUGAUCUCUGUCACAAGAUAGUAUUCAUAAUAAUAUCCCAGUUGCAGGGUAGAAGUUGUCACAUUUGUGCAGUUGAGAAAAAACUGUUCUCUAGCAAAACAACCUUCUUCAAUCCCAAAUGGAAAAAGAACCUUGAUGUGUCCACAAACACGGCUGCAAUUGGCUUUUUGUUGCGCUGCAGGAUUGUAACCUAAUUCCAGUAGAAAAGUAUUCACAAUGAGUACUAUAGAAAAGUAAUACCUUUUCUUUUGGCAGGUAAUACCUUUAUCUAAUAUGUAAAUAGAUGCUGUAGUGUGACCCAGAAUGGGAUGAUUACUAUAUAGCUAGGUUGAAUAUAAGCCACCAAAUUAGUUUUAAGAUAAAGAAAAUCUGGGACAAGUUCCUCCAAAUUCUCUUACUACUUAUUUUAGAGGACCCAAAGUUAUAACUUUGAGGAUAUAAUUACCAAUCUCAAAGACUCACGAAAACCUUGCGCGCUUUGUAUUCUGCUCCCCACGGGCACAUACUUCUAACACCCAUAUUUUGUAUUCUGCUCAACACACCCUGACACCCACUAUGGCUUUCUGGUAUUUUUGACAACUGUGUCAAUCCUAGGAGAAUUUGUAAUUCAGAAAGAAAAUGAAUGGAAGAAAAGUAGUACAUACAGUAUGUAACAUACUGAAUAUCAAUUAUACAAAUACAUAGAGUAUUGUAGUUUUUUUGGUCAUAUGGGUAACUAUGUAGUUGGCAUAUCUACAACAUCUGUAGGAAGUCAAGCAGGACCAUUUAUAAUUUGCUGAAUUUCUAUGGGUUCUUUUAACUGCCCUAUAUAUUGUACCUUUUUUGAAGACGUAAACACCGCUUCUAUUAAUAAAUAAUAAAUCUAGAUAUCUGAAUGGCCUCGGGCUUAAGUUCUCAAUAUAGAAAUCGAGUGUAAUGAAAGAAGAAGCUGGAUUUCUUACAACGGGGUAGUGUUAAUACCUCUGUCUCGCGAGCAGCCACUUAAAAUGUAUGGGUUGCCCACGUAACCAGAAUUGCACUUGCAAGAGUACCCAAUAUACCCAAAAUCUAGUGAUGAAUCAUCAUUGUCGAUACAUCGGCUAUUGUUGCCAACACAAGCAAAUUUUGUAUUAUUCUCCUUGGCACUCGCACAGUUUGGUUGAUCGACGAUGUUCCAGGACAGGUAAGCACCAAAUGUAGUUACGUUGAUGUAAUCCCACAAAGAGCUCCGAUUAUAAUUUACCUCUGGACUGCUUUCUCUGUGACGGACAAAUUUGAGAUUAAAUGCUCGAAUUCUCUCCCAGAAGAACGGGCAACAUCCUGUGCCGUUGCAGUUUUGCCUAGCCGCCAUGUCCGUGAUAUCACUGGUAGGACAUUUAAGUGUGCAAAUCAGCGAUGUUAUAUUCGCAUCCCGAUCACUAAAAUAUAUGUCAAAGUCGCAACCAGUGAUAUUCAUCCAGAAAAAAGAAAGUGUAAAUGAUUUCCCAGGAGAACUCCACGACAUGUUGUAUGUGUGAACACCAUAACUCACUGGGAUAGUAUAUGGAAAAUUGAUCCCAAUAUAUCUGCUCGAACUGUAGAGAUACCCUGUAUCCGCUGUGACAAUAUUGUGGGCAACCUGGGUGAUGCCAUCAUGUAGAAGGAGAGUUGGGGGCUGAGCAGACUCGUUGCAGGUAAGCUCGAAGUCACCACCACGGGAACAACGAGGCCCGAUGCCAAAAGGAUAGCUGAAGGUCAAGUCUCCACAGCUCGUCUGGCAACCGGAGAGGGUGGGGAUGGUGGAAACCGUGCCAUUGCUCUCUGCUUGGCUUCCCAGCACGACGGAUACCAGCAUCAAUAGUUGAAUCCCCAGCAGUGAACGGAGGAGCAAUAAUGGAAACA